rnacentral:lncRNA from 1 species
UUUCCAUUCUCCAAGAACCUUGUAUCACUCAUCCCUUGCUUCUCCAUGUUGUACGUAUUAGCAUUGUUAGUUGUACUUCCACUAUACUUUGUCUCACCAAACCCUUGCUUCUCCGAGUUGUACAUAUCCUCACUUCCCUGCUCCUGGGAGUUGUACAUAUUGCCGCCGUCUUCCGUCUCCACAAACCUAGUAUCAUCAAACUGAGGCUUCACUGACUUGUACCCAUCGCCGCCGGGGGCAUAGUAGUACUUUCCAUUCUCCAUAAACCUAGUGUCACUCAUCCCCUGCUUCUGAUAGUUGUACAUAUUGCCACCAUUUGUACCCAUCUCUUGCUUCCCAUAGUUGUACAUAUCGCCACCAUUAGCAAACUUUGAACCCAUCUCUUGCUUCCCAGAGUUGUACAUAUUGCCACCAUUUGUACCCAUUUCUUGAUUCCCAGAGUUGUACAUAUUGCCACCGUUUGUAUCCAUUUCUUGAUUCCCGGAGUUGUACAUAUCGCCACCACUUGCAAACUUUGCACCCAUUUCUUGCUUCUCAGAGUUGUACAUUCCGGUUUCACCGGUGACCUGGCCGUUGAAUUCGUCAGGGAAGUCUUGGGUGCUGCUGUGAAUAGGGGUGGUGUAAGCCACCGGGUUGUAGUUUUCCGGAAGGUUGGCGGGGAGGGGGAAGUUGUUGGCGGUGGCAGAAGGUGGCAAUUGGCCUGAUUCAUGGCCGUAGAGGCCGUAAGCGCCGCCGUCUGGUUGGGUUUGUGGGAUGAAAUUGGGAUCUUGUUGAUUGGUGUUUAAGGGUUGUACUUCUUUUGGGAUGUUGUUAGAGAUUUUGGCGAAGAAUUGGCUUUCUCUUGCAUGGAUGGUGGAGGAGAGAGUGAGGAGAAGGAGGAAGAAGAAGAAGAAGAAGGAGGUGAUGGAAGCCAUUGGAGGAAAGAAUAGAUUGAAGUUUUGGCUCUUGUGUUUAUGUUUCAAUGGGUAUGGAUUUAUAUAGCAAAAGUUGAAUCUCUCUAAAUCUCUCUAAAAUCUCUCUCUCAAUCUCUCCCGGUGUUUGAAAAUUAAUGAAUUUCUACAAGUUAGGUGCAAAUUGGAGGGGAAAAGGGUGAUGAUUGCGGUCCCUAAUGCAUAAUACCAGCACUUUGACAAAACAACCCUUUUCUUGUGGGCCAUGUUUUCAUAUUAUGUUAGAGGGAAAAUAGCUAUACAAAAAUAAACAGAUACAAAUUUUUAAAAACGAUAUCGAAAUACGUUUUUGUUGUUGUGGCAUUAAAAACAAAUUGAUUAUAAUUGAUUUACUAAAUAAAAGUGAUGAAUAGAAAAACCAUAUUUGAAUUGAACUCGUCUUAAUCUUCUCGAUGAGAUUUUUUUUUUUAUAUUUAUAUGUAUAUUUUCGUUAUCUAAACAUUGAUUUUUAUGUGAAAUGUUUAACAAUUUAUGUUUAAAAUCAAGUUGGGUGUUUUUUUUUUUUCAUGUAAAUGUUGUACAAUCAAAUUUGGUGUUUUUACUAAUACAAAAAAUGAUGUUGUGUAGUAUGACCGAGUUAAUCUAAAAUAUUUUCAAGAGAAGUUUUAAUUACGAAAAAUAUCAAAAAAUAUAAGUGGGAAACCUUCAUGCACGAGUUUUAGGAGGAGCUAGUCAAAAGAAUGUUGAUGCCUUCCACACUAGAGGGACUAAAAAUAGUUGAGUUGCAAUUAUUGUUUUAGAUAUUAACAAUAGAUUAAUGAUAAAUUUUAAAAUUGUUUAGGUUAAUUUGAUUUGAAAUAAACACGAAUUUAUAGAUUGAUAGUCUACUAUGAUAACUUUGUAGUUGAGACCAUUUUGUGGAUAAUCUCGAUGAUGUAGUUUGAUUUGCCAACUACCUUACCAUAAAAAAUAUAUAUAUAUACUAUAUCUUAAGACAAGUAUAUUAUGCAAAUGAAUUAUAUUCAUUUAAUGUUGUAAUUGGAUAUAUGUCAAGGGCAUUUAGGGUAUUUUGAACUUAGAGGAUGCAUAGAGAAGAUAUGGACUAAUGGGAGUGGGGCGUGGAAUUAUGCGUGGAUUGUGGGAGGAGAGAAGGGGGAGGGGGACAUGAAUGUAAAAGCAUCAUUAAAUGCUACAAAGAAGCAUGGCAACAAGUCAUGUUUAGAGCAUGCCCUCAUCUACUCUAUUCUUCAUAUAUUGAUAGCUCCUUACAUCAUUAACAAUCGAAUUUUUAGCAAACAAAACUUUAUAAUAAAAUUGUAAAAUUUUCUAGGAGUUAUAACAUGAAAACCAUCUCUGAAUUAUAACCAAUAUAUGGUUCAUGUAUCUUCUUUUCAUCCCUAAAAAUGAAUUUUUUUUUUCAAUUACUAAAUGUGUUAUGUAAAUUUGUAAUUAUCCAAUUGUUAAGUCAAUGAAAAUGAUAAUUAUGCUCUCAUCUUUCUUCAAGAACUUUGAAACUAAACCUAAUUGCAAAAUUAAAUUCAACAAAAAAAAAUCAUCAAAAGUUAAAAGUCAAAAUGAGUAAAACAAAAGAAAACCAGAACCAACACUCGUACACCAAGAAUGCACACAAAACUCAAAACGCUAACUUAAAUCAUUGCUUUGUAAAGUUAGGAUUUUGAUUUAUAAAUUUAUUCCACCUUAUAAACUAUGAAUCCAUCCGGAAAUGACACACCCCUUGUUUGGAUGAUUUUAAAAUAGUAUUAAAAAACAAGUUUUAAUCUUCAAAACCAACAUUCUCAUAGUUUAAUAAGUUUUGCGGAUAUAAAUGGUUCCAAAAAAAUAUUUAAAAUUAGUUGUUUCAAAAUGUGAUGUGUCGUUAGGUAUCAUACCAAUGAUUAAGUUUCCCACACAACGGGGUCAUCUAAAUGACAUGCACCUCCGGUCCCUAAGUACUUCAAUGUGAUCAUACAUCAUAAAUAAGUUAAGCAAAUGAUUGAGUUACCCAACGAUAAUUCAUUUAGGUGUUGUUCGUUUUUUCGAAGCGAAAAUAUCUGAAGUCUGCGGACCAUCUCUGUAACCCUCUGUAGCAGAAGAGGGAACCAAACGACUGCAGAAUGUAAUAAAAAGUUUGUAUAUUUUUUGAAUUCUGCAUACUACUGCAAUAAGUUAACGUAAGGUGUGAAGAUGUUUGAAGCAGAGGGUCAAGUGAUGCGUCACGCAGCACACGCGCAUCCGUUUUUAAGUCAGAAGUCUUCUGAAAAACAAACAUGUACAAAAGGCUAAGUGAUGUGCGUGUGCUGUGCAACGCAACAAUAAGUGAUCAAAAGUGGUUUUUAGAAAAAAUAAACAACACCUUGUAGGGAAUCUUAGGGUUUGUGGUGGAGAUCUGGAUACCAACUUGGAUCGUGAUAUCACUUUCUGAAUUGAUAUUUCUACUUUAUGCCUAGGUUACAAGAAAUUCAGCCUAGGAUAAUCCAAGUGAACACUUACGUUUCUAGGCACAUAAAACAUAAGCCAAUAAGCUAAAGGGUUAUGUGAAUGUGUGAUGAAAACGAGAGCUAAAGAACGUAACCCCUUCUGUAUAAAAAGAGCCGUUUAUGUAUUAAACAAGAUUAGGGUUUCAUUAGGGUUGGGCCGUCAUUAGUUGCAUUGGAAGCAAGUAACAUUAAUCCGGAUUAGGGUUACCAAAACUAACGAGUUUCGUUAGUUUUACCAUAAUCACCCCCAAGAAAUUGAGUUUUCCAUUAUGUUCACACAUGCAAAUUUCGGUGAGGUUUUGGGGUGCUUCUCCAAAUCCCGCGGGGGCUCAACCCCUAGACCUCGCCAAAGGGGCGCUGCCCCUUUGGAAACCCCGAACCCAGGGGCGCUGCCCCCGGACCCCCGACUAGUCGUCGAACCAGCUUCUAAUUCGAUCUUAUACAUGCGUGCACUCCGCACUACUCUAUACAUAUAUUAGAGUAUAAAUUAUGAAGCCCCUUAGCUCACAUGUUAGUUCCAGUUACUUAAAAUGACAUGGUGGCACUAAAAUCACCAACCAUCCUCCCCCAUUUUAGUGUAACCCUUGAACAAACAUAACCUUAUCAACAACAAACCAAACUAGUACAUAAUGAAAAUAUCGAAACGAUUGAAUUUCCACUUAGUAUCAUACACUUGCAAAUACUCGAGAAUCAGGGUGUUCUAAGAAUUGAACCUAUCAACCCAUUUGAAUACUAGAAAGUAAAAUACAUAGUAGUUUAUUGAAUUUCUAGCAUAAUACAACUUGACACUAUUAUAAAGUCGUGUGUCCCAAUCCUCUCAUGAUUGUAUCAAGGUCAAGUCCAUAACCUCUUGAAAUGCGGCUACACUUCAAAAUCACGUAGGUAACUCCUUUCCAUGUAUCUACACAUACAUUUAUCAAAGGAAUUAUUAAGAAGUUAAACUUUAACCUGGCUAACUUGCAGAACCGAACACAUACUUGGGAUGAAUACUUCAUGCGUUCCAAUCUAUAAGUAUGAGAUUUCCACAAUGAAUUCAACUCCUAAAAUUAUAUUAGGAGGGAAUUAGGUGUCUCAUCAUUAUAGAAUUAAAUGGACUUUAAUCCCGUCCCAAUUACAAACUUGUGCACUAAGUCUCUUGUCAGACCUUUAGUCAAGUGAUCUGCCAAAUUUUGUUGUGAUUUCACAAACUCAACCGAAAUCACACCAUUCAUGAUUAGUUCUCUAAUCAUACUAUGUCUAACACCUAGGUGUCUAGACUUGCGAUUAUAAACCUGGCCAUAAGCCUUAGCCAAAGCGGCAACAUUAUCACAAAGGAUAGAAAUAGGUGCUAUCGGUUUAGACCACAAAGGAAUCUCAUAGACCAAAUUCCUUAGCCACUUUGCUUCUUUACCAGCAACUACUAACGCAACAAACUCAGAUUCCAUUGUCGAGUUUGUAAUGCAAUAUUGCUUCUUGGAAGCCCAAGAAAUGGCACCUCCCCCAACCAAGAAUACCCAACCAGAAGUUGAGGAAUGGUCGUCCAUGUUGGUAAUCCAACUUGCAUCUGAAUGACCUUCUAAAACCGAAGGACUCCCCAAGUAACUCAAACCAUAAUUCAUGGUUCCCUUGAGAUACUUAAACACUCUAUUCACUGCUUGCCAAUGUUGAGCACUAGGAUUGCUAGUGUACCUGCUCAACUUACCCAUAACAAACACAAUAUUAGGUCUGGUACUUGUCAUGGCAUACAUCAAGCUACCAAUAGCCUUAGAUUAUUCCAACUGUGAAAUGGGAAUACCAUUAUUUGGCAUUAAUUUCACACUUGGGUCCAUAGGAGUACUCACAGGAGAACACUCGGUAAAAUUAAACCGCUUGAGAAUUUUCUCAAUAUAAUGACUUUGAGUCAUUACCAAUCCUUUGUUCAUCCUCUUAAUUCUUAUUCCAAGAAUUACAUCAGCCUCUCCUAAAUCUUUCAUUAAAAACUUGGAUGACAACAAUUUCUUUGUUUCAUCCACUUGAUUUUGGUCGGUGCCAAAAAUCAACAUGUCAUCUACAUAUAAGCAAAUGAUCACUCCAGCUCUAGUAGCAUCAUCAAAUCUACUAUAAACACAUUUGUCACAUUGGUUUGUUUUGAAACCAAAAGACAAAAUCACCUCAUCAAAUUUUUGAUGCCAUUGUUUAGGCGCUUGUUUCAUCCCAUACAAAGAUUUGACAAGUUUACAAACCAUAUGCUCUUUACCGGGCAUAAUGAAACCUUCUGGUUGUUUCAUGUAAACUUCCUCGUCAAGAUCACCAUUUAAAAAGGCUGUUUUCACAUCCAUUUGGUGAAUAACCAGAUUGUGGAUACUUGCCAAGGCAACCAACAAUCUAAUAGUAGCAAUACGUGCAACUGGAGCAUACGUAUCAAAAUUGUCAAUACCGGUUUUUUGUCUAAAACCUUGAAUGACUAACCGAGCUUUGAAUUUGUCAAUAGUCCCACUAACAUUCAUUUUAUUUUUGAAAAUCCAUUUGCAACCAAGAGGUUUAGAACCUGGAGGCAAAUCAGACAACACCCAUGUACUGGUCUUGGAGUAGUCAGCACGUAUGCUGCUUUUAGAGUGGUCAGCAUGAAGUGCAUCUUUUUCUUCCAGCGCUUGAAAUCGACACCUUCAAACUUCUCCAACUUGGCAAACUUAGUGGUCAUCUCGAGGAUUGAGUCACCCAUCUCCAGAAUUAGAAAUAUCAAUUUGAUUGUAGGGAAUCUUAGGGUUUGUGGUGGAGAUCUGGAUACCAACUUGGAUCGUGAUAUCACUUUUCGAACUGAUAUUUCUACCCUAUGCAUGGGUUACAAGAAAUUCAGCCUAGGAUAAUCCAAGUGGACACUUACGUUUCUAGGCACAGAAAAUGUAAGCCAAUAUGCUAAAGGGUUCUGUGAAUGUGUGAUGAAAACGAGAGCUAAAGAACGUAACCCCUUCUGUAUAAAAAGAGUCGUUUAUAUAUUAAACAAGAUUAGGGUUUCAUUAGGGUUGGGCCGUCAUUAGUUGGAUUGGAAGCAAGUAACAUUAAUCCGGAUUAGGGUUACCAAAACUAACGAGUUUCGUUAGUUUUACCAUAAUAACCCUCAAGAAAUUUAGUUUUCCAUUAUGUUCCCACAUGCAACAUUCAGUGAGGUUUUGGGGUGCUGUUCCAAACCCCGCGGGGGCGCUGCCCUAAACCCCGCGGGGGCUCUGCCCCUUGGACCUCGCUAGGGGCGCUGCCCCUAGACCCCGCCAAAGGGGCGCUGCCCCCGGACCCCCGACUAGUCGUCGAACCAGCUUCUAAUUCGAUCUUAUACAUGUGUGCACUCUGCACUACUCCAUACAUAUAUUAAAGUACAAAUUAUGAAGCCCCUUAGCCCACAUGUUAGUUCCAAUUACUUAAAAUGACAUGGUGACACUAAAAUCACCAACACACCUUAGAGUAAAAGUUGACAAUCCAUUUUACUAGAAUCAAACCUCCAAAACAUCACAAAAUAAUUAAACAAGUAGAACACAUGGGUUUAAUAACCCAAAUCAAAUCAAGGGUAUAAUUAUAUGCCCAAAAGAUUAAUUGCAAUUGAUAUUUCUUCUAAAAGACGUAUAGUCUCAAAAACUUCAUAAAAAUGAUAAACCAAUACUAUAACACAUAAUAAGAUGCAAUGCAGACAACUAGACCAAACAUAUGUCAAUCUCAAUAGUCAAUCACACUGAUGGCUCAAUAGGACACUCUGACGGUAGUCCAUUCCUAGGGAUAUGGAGCCACCACACCUGGCACAAACAAUGGAUAGCUAACCUACACUUGUGCAAGUGAGGAUUAUCUAGAAAUCUACUCACAACAACUCAAUAUAAUAGGAUCCCAAGGACUUCCAUUCAAGUUACCCAUCCUAGUAUGUAAUGCAACAAGUAGAAUGCCAAAAUCACUUUCAAAAUAAGUAUUAUCGUUUGCUAUUAAAUCACUUUCCAAAACUUAUUUACAAAAAUGCCAUANNNNNNNNNNNNNNNNNNNNNNNNNNNNNNNNNNNNNNNNAGUUUUAAAACACAAAAUUAAUAAUUAGAGAUGAGUGCUUUUGGUAACUCACCUCAACUUCCAAUAAAAAAAAAUAUAUGUAUUUCCUUAGAACAUCUCCAACCCAUCUCCAUUUUCCCCCAUAAAUGGAGUAAAAAAUGGAGUAAAUAGUGUUUCAUCUCCAACCCUACUCCAUUUUCUACCCAAUUUUUUACCCCAAAAAGUAUAUUUCUUUAAUAUUCUAUUUUUAUAACUUAUAUAUAUUGUCAAAUACACCCCUCUACUAAUUAAACUCUAUAUCUAUGAUUAAUUAAUAUAAAUUAGUAUAUAACAUGAUAUUAUAAAUAUUAAAUAUUGCAUAUAAAUUAUAAUUAGUAGAUAAAAUAAACUAAAAAUGUAUAAAAUAAGAAUGAUAGGGACUAAAAUUGACAACCAAAAUUCACCUCCAUUUUUGGAGAUAUGAAUAGUAUUCCCCCAUAUAUGGGGGAAUACUAUUCAUAUCUCCAAAAAUGGAGGUGAAAAUGGGGUAGGGCUAGAGAAGAAUGGGGGAAAAAAAUGGGGGAAGAAAUGGAGUUUGGGGGUGGGUUGGAGAUGCCCUUAGUGUGCUCCCUAAUGAAUCUCCUUUAAUCAUUUCCUAUAAGAUAUAUAAUAAAUUACUGAAAAUAACCAAAAUACCCCUAGUGCAUUAAAAUUCUCAACUAUCUAAUUGUUCAUUAUUAACCUAAUUAGGAAUUAUGGAAGUGAAAAAUGUUGGAUUUAGGUGUCUAAGUUGAUAACUAAAUUGAUAUAUACUUGUAAUUAGAAGCAAAGUCCUUUUGGAUUGCUCUCAUAACUAGAAACUGAUUAAAAUGACAUUUAUAGAGAGAGAAUAAUUUAUUAGUUUAUUAUAUGAUUAUUAAAUUUAUUGGAAAUAGUAUUAAUUAAUUUAGAAUUAAUUAGAUUUAAUUAUGUGUUAAUUAGAAUUAACUGAGAGUGCAAGAGCUGACUUGUAAUUGUUUAAUAGUUGAACAAAGGAGAUGUUCCAGAAGCUUCCUAUGAUGGACUAUUUUGGAAUGCCCAAUUAGGGUUUCUAGAAGCCUCAUUUAGAUAAUUCGGAAACCAGAUAAUUACUGAAUUUGAAAUAUUAUUUUUAUAUGUUCAAAUUUAAGGUUUCUAGGGUUUCCAAGUACUUAUAUAAAGAGUUGUAUCCAUAAAAUUUUCGGCUACACACAUACACAUAAGAAUUUUGAAUUUUUGCAUCUCCUCCCCUCUCUCACUUUGUUCUUCAAGUUUUGUAAGUUUUUUGAAGUGGAAGUGAAAUCUCUCUUGUAUUUGUAAAAUUCAAUCUAGAUUUGAAGUUUUUGUUCAAAUAUGUUGUUCUCUACACAUUCUUUCAUUUGAUUCAUUCUUGAUUUAUGUUUGAGAAAUGAAGUAGAAGAAGUAAUUCAGAUUUUAUUCUCAGAUUUGUGCUUAGAUAUGUUUUCUCUCUAUAGAAAUCUAUUCAGGUAUGUUUUUCUCUCUCUUUAAGCUUUGUUUCUUAUUGAAGAUCUAAUGGAUUCAUAAAUUUCAAUGUUGUUAACUUCCAUUAGAAAACUUAGAUUAAAAGUUACAGAUCCAAUUGAUGGUGUUAAAAGAGGAAAUGAGUGGCAUGUUUUUGAUUUAUCUAAAUUGAAGAAUGCUUAUGAGAUAUAUAAUCUUUAUGCUGAUGAGAAGAUAUGUGGUCAGAUAUCAUGUGAUGGAAUUGGGGCUUGUUUACAAGAUGAUAAGGAUUUAAUGUAUCAAUUUCGUAUUAUCAAAAUACAUUAAGAUUGGGAAAAUAGACAACAGAUUUUAAAGAUGAAAAGAGAAGAAAAAAAAGAUUCAAUGAGAAAAUAUUCUUGUGUUUCUUAAAAUUUGGGUGUUAUUGAUGUUCUUGAUAAAGUUCAUGAUAUUCUUCAUGUUUCGGAGACAACUGUGACUCCAUAUGCUUUUGUUGAGGGGAAUCAAGUGUUUCAUCAAAGUCUUGUGAUUUAGAAGCCACACACUCCGAAUCUGGUGUUUUGAAUGAUGAAUCACAAAGGAAAUCUCUUGAAAUCGUGAAAGUGAACAUGUUUUCUAUUGGAACUCAAACUGAUGAUUCUUCAUGUUCUUGUAAUUCGUUUGAAGGAAUGGUGCCUUACAGAAAACCUAUCAUUCAAGAUGUUCAAAUGUACAAAACUUAAAAUGUUUGUGUACCAAAGGCUUUUGAUGCUCAAAUUCCAAAAGGUGAUGAGCUUGUUCAGAUCCAAAAAUCAGUUUUGAAGUCAUGGAAUUUGAAAAAAAAAGAAAGGUGAAAAAGGUUUGGGUGCCAAAAGUGAAAAUUUCUCAUGUUCGUGAAAAAGUUAAGAAAAUUGAAACCAAGCUUGUUGAUUCGCAAAUUCGUUCUCAGAAGUUUGUUAGAAGUUGGUGAAAAUAGAAAAUGUUCUAUGGUUGGUUCUAUGAGAUAUUUGAUAAUUUUUAUGUUCCAACUAAGAAUCCAAUAUUAAUUUUUUUCUCAAUAUUCAGAAAUGGUUUCUUGUUCUGAUCUGAAUGUUUCUCCAAAGCAAUGGGUGUGCAAAGGAUCAUCUUCGACUCUCAAUCUCAAAUGGGCCUCUAAAAUCUCAUGUUAAUUGUCAAAGCUUAUUUUGAGGGGGAGCUUAUAUAUGAUCCAUUGCAAUAUUAUGAGACUUAUUGAAGUUUUGUAUGUCAUCAGAAGCAUUAUUCCAAAAGAUCAAGAAGCAUAUGAAAGUUGUACUUUAUGCUUAGUCAACAAUACUAUAGAAUAGUGACCGGUAAAAUGGGUUUAUUGUCGCAUUUUCUUUUGUCGGCUGCUGUCACACAAAUGACAAAGGAAAGCUACUGAUUUCGUAUAAAGUGAACGGAAAAGUAUUGAUUGUGAUCGUUUAUCAUGUUGACUUUUCAGAUUGGAUUCAUCUACAAAAGUUGAUGUUGUCUCAUUUCCUCCAGCACGUCAGAAAAUGGGUGUUCAUCAAAUAUGAUCAGAAAAAGCUAUGAUUGCGACAACAUAGGGUUGACAAAAGCUGAUGAUGCAUUUAUUGAUUCUGAAAUGCUGAUUCACAUUUAUUUGUCUCAAAAAAUUUGACAAGUAAUCAGAUCCAUUGACUUCCAACAAGUAAGAAAAGUAAAAAUGGCAACAACUCUUGUAUUUUGAUUAGUCAAAUCUGGUCUCGUCAAAGGAAACUUGUGAUAGCUAGAGUAUUUGUUCAUCAGAAAUAGCUUGUUUAUCAAGAUUCUUCUCAGAAAUAGUGUAAAAGUGUGUUUGGAAGAUCUUGUAUGUUAUCUUAACAGUUGGAAGUGAAAUAAUCGAGUAUAACAAGUGUGUGUUUUUGAACGAUGUUAAAAGUCAAACGUUUUGGAGAUUUGAGCAGCAAAAUUAGAAAAUUUUGAUGCUUUUCGCAUAAAGUGAAGCUAGUUGGGAAAAAGAGAAAGUUAUUUGCAUCAGAUGAUGUGAUUAGUCAGUUAAGUCAGAAAUGUUGAAUGGGACAAGUCUUUAAAUGUCGGCCAUAUCUAAAAAUUAAAAGUUGCAGUUCUGAAAAAGUGACUAACACGAAAUUAAUGCCAUCAGAUCUAACAUAUCUGAAAGAAUGAAAGCGACAUGACUAUUGGUUCUCUGGAAAAGGCGUGUUUUGAAGAGUAUGUUCGUAGAAAGUACCGUUUUGGAGACCAUGUUCAUCUAAAAAAGUAUUUCUUGGAGAAUGUGCUCGAAAGAGUUGCACAUCUCAAUUCCUUCUGAGUUGCGAACAUAUUUCAGAAAUAUGAAUUUUUUUUAUGACUUCCGAGAUGCUGCGAGCGUCGGAACUAAUCGGAAUUUGAAUUUUGGAGGUUUGGUUCUCUCGCACUUUGAAGAUAUUUUUUUUGGUAACUCUCAUAAAAGCGUUCUUACGUUUGUUUCUUAACUAUUUCUUGGUCUAAAACACUCAAAAACUCUUCUUAUUUUUGUUUCUUAUCUUUUCAUUUGGUCUGAUUCUCAAAAACAUGAAAAUAACAAAAAUAUGUUUUUGUUCUUUCUUUCUUUUGAAGCCUCAGAAAAUCGAAAAUCCAAUAAGAUUUUCUGUUUCUUUUUGUUUUGGAAUCAGAAUAACCCUAAACAAGGCAAAAAGAUUGUGCUUUUAGUUUGUGUUCUUGAAGAGUACUGUCUGGAACCAAAAUGCUAUGGUUCACCUCUAAAAUGUUUUGGUAUUCGGAGGCAAUCGGAAUUUCAAAGCUCGUUAUGGUUUCACAUUUUGGUGUUUUACCCGUCGGUUAAAGCUAUUAUCUCGUAGUUACUUGUGUAUUUUGUCGACUUUUCGCGGGUUCUUUGAAAUUUAUGAUGUUAUUGCAAAAGAAUGGGUACAAAAGUGCAAUGUUUUAGUGUCAAAUCUUAUUUGCACGUAUUUUUGAAGAUGAUUUUAGAUCUAAUGGGUUUUGAAGAUCCAUGUUAGCCUUGGGAAAGAUUUCAUGUUUGCAAGUCAACUUGCUUGUGGUUAGAGUAGGUUGUUGGUGGUUUUGAAACUUCUUAACUUUCUAAAUCCUCUCCAUAGUAUUUGUCGAAGAUUCAAGGGGGUGUUCGCAUUUCAGAUCUAUAUGCCUUGCUGAUGAUAUUUUUUCAUAUCUGUUCCUCUCUCUUUGAAGCCCCAUGUUCUGAUGAGUCUCACAAUUUAAGGGGGGUAAUGCCAAGAAGAUGUAAAUCGUGAUCUUCAUCACUUUUGACAUUUAGCGGGAGAUUGUAGAGUAUUGAAAAUAUUGAAACUGAUGUUGCCAUUGUGAAGGCAUUUGUGGUGAAGGCUUUGAUUGAAGACAUUUCAUGGAGUAUCUUUUGCUUAGUGGUUCCUUUGUUUAUUUUGACAUGUGAUGUAUUUAACCACUAUAUAUAUAGCCUUUAGUUUAGCUUGUUAGGUAAGCUUCUCUAAUCUCCCUUUCUGUAUCAGCUUCAGAUUGGUUGAGAAAAACUAAGGGUCUUUGUAUGUUCCAUUUCUUGAUCAAUAAUAUACAAAAUCUUUGACUAGAUUACUUGCAAUUAAUGUGAUUGAUUCAUGAUCGAUUACAAUUCCAAACACGUCAUUUUGUUUUGGACUUCAUAGAUUUCCAUGCCCUUAUCAGCCUAAUCCGAAUGUAGGUUUAUUUUUUAGUGAUUAUUUGUUUUGAAUCUGUUAAAAAUCCUAUUUUUUAUUCAAAAUAUAUGACUAAAAUCCUAAUUUGGAUUUUAAGGAGAUAAAUAUGGAAAUAUAAUUUUUAAUUAUAAGAUAAUUAAAUUGAAAUAUCCUUACGGAUUUUAAUAGUACAUUUAAUUAAAUGCUUACUUAAAAGGAAAAUACUAAAUCCAUAUAUGGUUUAGUGAUUAAUUAAUUAAAAGUUUAAUUUAGAUAAUUAAUAGUUAAACCUUGUGUUAAAAUUUUUAAAAUAUACCAUAUACAUAUAUUGGUGCUAAAGUUUUCCACAGGUGAACAAUGGAAUCAAUGAAUUGUUUUCUAUAAGAAUUGAAAGGUAUGCAACCAUACUUUUGUAGAUUUCGAUUUUUACUAGGGUUACGUUUCUUGUUGUUCAUUGUAUGUUGCUUUGAAUUUGUGAAGACAUAGAUCCUUAUAAGUUGCAUGCACCAUUAAUUUUUAAGAGCUUUUCCGUAUGUACAUGAAUGUUAUAACCUGUAAAAUCCAUCAAAAAAUAGGUCAAACGGAGAAGCCAAACCCUGAGAAAUACAAAAUUUUUCACCAUCACAAUAGGAAUUAUGCGUUGGGGUACACAUGGUGUUCUUCACUACCCAUCUCAAUACGCCUCGCAUUUUACAAGUAAAUGCCUCAUGUUCAAGAAAUAUUCCUUUGUUACGAAAUAUACUUUACAUUACGCAUCACGUUAUGUAUUGUAGAAUACCAAGUCCAACUUUAACUCAGUUUUUACCAUUCUCUCUAGCAUCAAUAAUUGUGGUCACUAAUGGAACUCUUUUGUACAACCACUAUGGAUUCCCAAAUCUUACUUGAAGACAUUUAGACAUUUUAAUCAUUUGACUUAAUCCGUUAAGUUCAUCACAAUGAUUUUUUUGGUUUCAUUGAUCAUCAAAUUCUUCUUAUGGAAUCAAGUCCUCAAAAUGUCCAAAAGGCUAUCAUGUAGCUUUUCCAAUCAAUUUAAGAUACAAUUUGCUUAUAAUUGAUACAUUUACCUCUUCAUUGAUCCUUUAAAUUAUUGUAACUUAAUUCUAACCAUGGAAUUCAUUAUUUCUUCUCCUAAAUUCCCAUUUUUCCUUCAUGGCUAAAAAUCCCAAUAACCACUUGUAGAUCUGAUCAUUAAUUUUUGGCAUCCAAAUCACUUACAAUGUAUCAAUUCAUAAGCUAGAACAUCAUUUACACACAAAGAUGCUUGAAAUCAAUUAAAAUCCAUCAUGCAUCCAUUGAAUAAAUAACUCAAAAUCAUUUAGGAAACAAGUUAAAAUUAAUAAUCCCCAUUUUGAAAUUUAGGGUUCAAAGCUAGAUUUUUACUAAAACUUCAAAUAUCUCAAAUGAAUAAUAAGAUUCAACUUAGAAUCAUAGAAACCACUCAAUAAGGGUUAGAAAGCAAAACCCUAACCAUCAGUUCGCUCAUAAAAUGAAUUUGAGUUUCUACCCCAUUCUCAAACUCGUAAUUGAGGUUGAAGAUAAACUGGUGGGGAGUUAUACCUUCCAAGUAUUUUAUUACUUCCAAUGUUGCACCAAAUGAUCAAUGUUUGAUUGAAUCAAACCCUAGCAUGAUUUCCUCCCAAAAUCACCAUUGGAGUUCACUCUAAGCUCUAAAAAGCCAACAUACGAGGAGUGAGAGGGAUUUGAUGCAUCUUAUUCCUCGUAAUUUGUAUAAUAUAACCCAUAACAAUUACUACCAUCUUAUAAAUUUGAAGGUUGUCACCUUUGGUCAUUUACCUUCCAUUUUAUGAAUUUUCUAGUCCAACAUUAAUUAAGUGAGUUGAUCCUUUGGCCAAACACACUUUCUUUAAUUUGACGUUUUUAACUCUAAAACUCAAAUUGUUAUAAUUUUACCAUUUAAACUUUCCAACUUAUAAAUUAAACUAUUAUUAUGAUUAUUUUAAUUAUUCUCAUUAUUUUAACUAGUUUACUUAUUUAUUUAUUAUUCUACUCAAAGGUUCUAAACCCAAAAAUAAGGUGUUGCAGUAUGCCUAAAUAAGAAAUUCACCCAUAAGAAAUAGAGGGGGUUCCUUAAACUGAUCUCAUGAAGUAAUUCUGAUUUAUCCACCACAUCGAAAGCAUUUGAGAAAUACAAUAUAAGCAUUGUAAGAUUCAUAUUAGUGUGUCAUUCACACAACACCCUAUUGACGGGGUGCAAUACGUGCUUAGCGCCAAAUGACAUAUCAACCCUGAAUUAAAUAUUAUUAAUGUACUUUUGUGUUUCUUUACCAACUCUUUUAAUGUAAACAUUAAAAACUAUGCUUCUUCAGUUAGUGUUCGCAUAAAUAGGAUCGAUCAUAUUUUUGGGAUUUAUGAGUGGCAUAAGAGGAGUAAAGACAAUAAACUCUGCCAAACUUGACGAACAUAUUCCUUAACCACAUAUUAACCUCUACGCCGAUUUCUUAUAACUGACAUGUAGCUAUAUAAGCCAUAUUUCCAUAUACAGCAUUCGGGAUAUGUUGUUCCCUUAAUUCGUCUUUCCUAUACGAAGUUCCUUUACAAAAUGAUUUUGCAUGAUAAAGGACUCAAUCAAUCUCUACUACAACGAGAUGCUCAAAAAAUAAUACGGUCGACAUGGAUGGGGUAGAUUGUAUAGAUGUUAUCCUCUAGACUUCAUGGUAUCACCACCAUACAGAGCAACAUCGGAAGAACAUUACACUUUCAUUACUAUUGUAAAUUUCGCAUUAACAACCUUACAUGGACACAACGUAAUGUUGGUGUUUCCUAUUGCUUUCUCUUGUUGAAUGUCAUAUUCCCUUGUCCCAGAUAUCUCAGCGUUGAACUGUCUAACGUAUUUUUAACUAAAAUGACGAUGUCAUACUCAUUCCUCAAUGUAGCUAGUGAAUAUAGGAUAGAAUGAUGUAACAAAGACUUCCUAUUCCCAUACCUACUUUCCUACUUAUUCUAAGGUCUAAACACAUACAAAGUGAAACGAGUAAAAAAUUAACAACAUAACCCACACUUCAAUGGAUCCCGACUGGGCAACUAGAUCUGGAAAAAACUAACUCAGCAUGAUAACUUGACAUGAACCCGACAUAAAAUAAAUAGGUUUAGGUAAGAGAUUUCAACAUGUUUAAGUAAAUUGGUUGACACAACACAAAACAUAAAUUAAAUUGGUAAGAUUAGGGUCAAGUUCUUAUAACCCGUUUAAUAUUUCAAUCCAUCAUGACUUGAUGCGUUUCACAAGUCUAUGGGAAAACCACCCUACAAAAAAACUAUUUUCAACACCUAAAAGAAAACAAGACAAAAUUAUGCAAGAUACUUUUCACAAUAGUGUUAGGUGCUUCGAAGAAAAUAUCUAAAAGUUCAACAUUCAAUACCAACUCCUUAUUUACAUUGGCCUCAAACUCUUUGGUAGACGACUUUAACAUGCCAACAGUAUGUCCAUGUAUGUUACUAUCCCAUCUAUUAAACAUACAAGACCAUUUAGGCGAUGUCAAGCAUGACUAGCUACAUAUAUAUACUUAUAUACCUUCCACGCAUCCAUUGAUCAAACACAUUCAGUAUUUCAUCCACUGCUAUAAACAAUCGUUGGUCUGUAGAAAUCUCUCACAAUACACUUUUGUGUUUAUUAGUAAAAAAGUAUAACCUCUUGAGAUGAGAUGUCAUACAAGAAAUUCUUGUAUUUUCACUGCACACAAUGAAUUCCCUUGAAUAGACAAUCUAUGUCACUUUGUAGUUAUAGAUGAUGAUGUCAUAAAAAUAGACAAAUUGCAUUAAGUCUCGAGUAGAAGCUUUAAAUUUGAUACAAAUAUCCAAAACAUGACAUUUUAAUAAACAAUUAAAUAUUUGGUUUGCACAAAGUGUACGCUUUGACAACUUUUCAAAACAAUGUAAAAGAUAAUAAUGUCAAAAGUUUACACAUAAACCCAUAUUGUUUUUGUAUGUAUGUUUUUUUUUUAAUUUAAUAAGACUUUAUCCGUUAUAGACAAAAAGAAGAAAGAGGAAAAGGUAAGUUUUCAUAUCGUAAGGACUAAGCAUUAGGGAUAAGCAUAGGUGGGUAUCCAUCUCAUUUGGCAAGAACCGGAACCUGAACUGACGGUUCCUAGAAAUUGUGAAUCGGAACCAGUUCGGUCUAGGCAGUUCUUAAAUUAUUGGAACCAGUCCUGGAACCAACGGUUCUAGUUCUACGAGCGGGCAACCUGGUUACAUCAGUUAUAUUAACUUUUGUCAUUAAAACCGCAAUUUAGUUUGGUCCAAAUCGAAUCAAUUCGGACCAAAGACGGACAAAAUCGGACCAAUAUAUUCUAAACCAGUUUAAAUAACAUAGACAUAUUCAUAUAUAUAUAUAUACAUGUUCCGACGGGUACCUAUUGGAUAGCGGUUCUGAAAAAAAUGAGAAUUGGAACGAACCGCUUAAGGCGGUUCCAUAACUUUAGGAACCGGAAUUGGAACUGCUUAAAGCGGUUCACUGAGAGUUCCGAGACGAUUUUGGUUUUGAAAACGGGUACCCAGUUCCGAUGUUCAUCCCUACUAAAGAUUACUCCAUGUUGAUUGCAUUAGAUACAAUGCAUAACUCACACAAACCAAAUAUAAGGACACAUUGGAAUUUUUGGUACCCCAAAAUUCCUACCAAAUCAAACAAUAAUCAUCCAAUUAUUUAUUAUCUUAAACAACAAAUGUUAAGUCUAAUCUUGUCUAAUGCUAUAAAUUUCAUUUAUACAACUUGUCAAUAUCUCUAAGAAAAAAAGACUAUCUUUUUAGUGGUGUUUGAGAAAGCUUUUUAAAAUGACUUAUUAACUUAUUGUUUUUUUUUCAAGAAGAAAAAUAGUAAGUUCAAAAAAUGUUUAGUAAACACUAACUUUUUAGUGAAAAAAAUGAUUUUUUUUUUCUUCAGAAAACCAGAAUUUUUGACUUUUCCAAAUGGUCAAUAAAGAGUUUGAGAAGCAAUCGCAAAUACAUCUUUAAAAGUUUGAAGGAAUAAAUUCAACUAUGCAAGGGCAAAUUACGUGUUAUUAAACAAUCGACUAAUUUGAUCUUCAAUUUCAUAUCGAAAAGCACCCGUUAUUAUAUAUUUGUGUUUGAAAAGAACCUUACAUCGUUCUUUUAUUCUUUUGUUACUAGAAAAGACCGAUUUAUAUUUUAUUAUCUAUAUUUUUUAUUUGGCGUGGCCCUCACAUUUCAUUGGCCUUGUACUAAAUUCAAUUUAAAACCCUAUAAUUUUUCAGUAAAAUGUUAUUAAAUAAAUUUUCUACUGUUAAAUUCAAAACAUAAAAUUGGAUAUAAGACCACAAGAACGAAAUAACUAUCAACAAGUUUUAGUUAAAUUACAAAUUAUCAUUCAUAUUGUUAAAGUCAAGAAGUUUUAGUUAAAUUACAAAUUAUCAUUCAUAUUGUUAAAGUCAAGAAGUUUUAGUUAAAUUACAAAUUAUCAUUCAUAUUGUUAAAGUCAAGAAGUUUUAGUUAAAUUACAAAUUAUCAUUCAUAUUGUUAAAGUCAAGAGUAUUUACACAUUAAUAAUUAACUAAAGGUGAUAAAAUAAUUUUCCAAAAAAGAUUAAAAAAAAUCAAUAUAUUAUUAUUUUUAAACAUCAAUCUUGUAGUAUUUUAAGAAACAAAUUUAUCUAUUAUAUUUUAAUGUUCAACAUUUUUAAGAAACCUCAGUUCAUUUCUAUAAUGAAUAAGUUAUUUAGAAACUGUAAAAAUGGUACAUGUAGUAUGCAUUUUUUCCAAAAAAUGUUUAAAACACUAAACUUUUGGAUUGAUGGUUUUUUUGAGCAUGUUUGUAUGCAUUUUUGGUCCAUCGAAAAAAUGAAAACACUAAAUUGUCCUUUUGAUAUAUUUUCUAUGCUUUUUCUAUUUAAUUUUAAAGUUUUAUUAAUGAAGAGUAUGGGGUCGCGCCCUCUCUCUUACAAUCUCUCUCUCUCUCUCUCUCUCUCUCUCUCUCUCUCUCCUUAACUAAUGAACUUCCCAUCGGAAGCCUUAAUUGGAGAAACCCACCACCAUAAAUUCACACCUUACACCAUCACUACUCUUCCAUCAACCCCAUUGGCAAGCACCCACCAGUUAUCGAGCCUCCUCACCACACCUUCAUCCUAGAUUAUCUUAACCUUAGAUAUCGUCAUCUCCACACCCAUUAAAGCUGCAGAAAGUCAAGUUCAAAAGGAAGCCACUACUCUUCAUUUUUUAUUCUUAUACACACAAGAAAAGUGAUGGGUGGGGGUGAGAGCACACAUGCGUAAGAGAAAGCUUUUGAGGGUAAACCUCAAGCCGGAAACUAUCAUGGAUGGUGACCCCUAAAUUGUCGGUAAAAGAUGCAACUGAACCGUCAUCGACCACUGGACCACUCUUCCCUCUAUAUCUUUCACACCCCUCUCUCUAAUAUUUGCCACAAGUUUUUUCCAGAGAACUUACGACAAAUGUAACAUUUGAAUUCCCGGAGGUAUAUAUUUUUUAGUUUUAAUUUAUAUUUUGGAAGUGACCACGUCGUGGUGAAGGCAUACCACGACGUGGUAAUGCUGGCAGAUUCGCAUAUUAUUUAAUGGUAACCACGAUGUGGUAUCCCUUGGCCACGCCGUGACGGCCUUGUGUCGUGAUAACAGUAAUUUUCAGGUAUUUAAAGGAAAGUGGGGAGGCAUGGGUUGCCCAUCUUCAGCCUCCAUCACUCUCAAACCUAGAGUGUAACAUCCCAAAAAUUAUAAGGUAAAAAUUUCAUUUUAAAUUUAGAAACACCAAUUAUCUUUUUUUCCAAUCAUUCAAAGAUCAUUUCAGAAAAAAACAGUUAUCAGAGUACCAUUCCAAAAUCAUAUAGUUAUAGAAACAUGGGUAGAUGCGCUGCGAUCAAGUCGGGUCCUUCCCUUUCGAACUGUAAGUAAACCUUAACCAUAAAAAUCGUUAGCACAAAGCUUAAUGAGCUCCCCAAAAUACCACAUACCAUAUAUACAAUAGAGAUUGCUAUGUACCGACCAUAUCCCUACCAUUAUGCCAUGACCCGUUUCAUAGUCUUCCUAUGCUAGGCGGGGGGCCAAAACCCUAGGUCUUACAAUCAAGUGCCAAGAGCUACAUCCUGGUCUUCCAUACAAGAAUCACAAAGACAACUAGCAUACUAGCUACACACACACACACACACACACAUAUAUAUAUAUAUAUAUAUAUAUAUAUAUACCUAUCUACUAGGGUCUGAUCCCUAGUCUUGCAUAUAAUUUUUCGGGAGCCACCUUCGGGCCUUUCAUACAAAUGUCAAGGGCCACCCCCUCGUCUUCCUAUAUAACAUAAAUCAAUGGGCCGACAUUGGUGCCUUCGAUCCAUAGUAUAUUGAGGAGACUCACGUCUAACUGCUGAAACCACCAAAUAAAUGCUCGGCUUGUUGAUCCGAUAAAUCCCCGUGCUAAUUAAUCAUAUUAAACCCUAAUUAAUAAUUGGGCCAUAAACCAUAACUAGGAAUCUCAUUCAUAUGUUCAACUCCCAGGGUGAAAGACCGUUUUACCUUUGCCGAACUUGGCCCAACUAAUCCAAGCCCAAAACCCUAAAUGGCCCAAGGCCCAAAAUCGAUCCAAUGGGCUUCUAAGAGAACGAAUGACGUCCACUUAAUGAUGCUUUUCGUCCAAACGCGCAACGUUCUAACCCAAAUGCAUGGUGUAACCAUAAAAUACCAAAUCCUUAACCAUGGUCUUAAUGGCUUAAGACCUAAUGUUCAAACAUCAGAUCCAAAGCUAAAAGAAUGUCUAAAGUCAUAAAGUUGCAGCCUUUAUGAAUUUGCAAGGCUACAAAGAGCCAAACAUCCAAAAUAUAACUUAAAUCACAAUCUAAAGUUCCAAAACUCUUGCAUGGAAGAGUAUCAAGGUCCAAUCUUGCAUUUUUAUGAUUCUAAACCCUCCAAGAUGCUUGAAAGGACAGCCCAAACCUCUCGGGCAUUCCAAACUAACAAAAUUCAAGUUCUUGGGACCGAAAAGAACAUAAAACUAUAUUUAAGCAAGAUCUAAUAAAGGAUUCAUCAAGAUAUGAACUUUAUACCUUCAAAUGGUGCUCCAAGAUGCCAAGAGUCUAGAUCCAAAGGCUAGAGAGCAACACCAACACUCCAAAGAUCUUCCUUCUCAACCAAGAACACUAAAAUGAUAGGCUUCAAAACACUCACACACACUUAGGGUUUCAAAAUGAGGGAUGUAAGGGAUGGAGGCUGGAGAUAAGAAACGUUUUGAGGCUAUAAUGGCCUUUAAAUAGGGUGCAAACCCUAAAAAUUACGGUUUGUCAUCUGCGGGCGAAUGCCUAGCGUCCACAAACUUAUGCCCGGCGUUCCAACGCCUAGCGAACUCCAUUCCCAAUGCUUGGCGUUUGGGACCAAAAUGCAAAGUUAAUACAAAGCAAGGCCAACAAUGCAACUACUUGUAAACUGGCGUUACAAAUCUCCCCCACUUGAAUCAUACUUUGUCCUCGAAGUUCGUUGUCGCAAAUAAAUUUGGGUAAUCCUCCCUCAUCUCGUCAUUAGGAUCCCAUGCCCAUUCAGGCCCCUUUCGGUGUUGUCACUGCACCUUCACCAACUCCACAACCUUGUUCCUCAAGGUUUUUGUCUUAUUAUCAAAAAUGAAAAUCGGUCUCUCAAUAUAAUUCAUACCCUACUGGAACAUGGGUGUUACAACUCUCCCCCACUUAAAUUAGAUUUCGUCUUCGAAAUCACUUCUCACUACAUUCCAGUCACCCAAAUGAUUCUAACAAUACUCCGAAAAGACCGAUAAAAGUCGACUCAGACAUAAAACGACCUUAUGAAACUAUAACCGAACCCAACCUUAGCAGUGCUUUCAUACCUUGAAGACGAACAUAUCCUUCCCCCACUAGCGUUAACCACUGAAGAAUAUCCAUUACUACUCUGCCUGAAAUCCAAAUCCUAAAACCUUGUCUGAAUUCCCGACAGACAGACCAUUCCGAAACACUACCAAAUCGAAUCCACUUCGCAACCUAACUAAGCAUAAAACCUUCCAACCCUAGACCAUCUUGUUGUCCCAUAAUUACAUUCCUGAUGCAAUCGAGACCUCCUUGGUCUCAUACUUACCUACCAAUUCACCAAUAUACCGUAUUUCCAACCGAUUGUUGAGGCUGACGGCCUCACACAAUCGCACCACACGACUCCUGACCGAGGGUCUAUCUGGCAAGAGAUGUCCUAGCUUGCUUGCCAUAAUAGCUCCAACAGCCCUCCUAAUCCAUCCAAGUAUAACGUAACCAACCAUUACACUGAUGCAACAUAAUCUACUUUUCUAUAAAUGAACAUUACAUGACCAUCUGUAGUUUUAUAUCACAACCAGCCCCAUACUACCCACAACCUUUCUUAAUUUCAUGAAUGUAGUGGCCUUCCUACAAUCUCACGACUUGAACUGCUAUGGUCUAAUCCCACCUAGAGGAAACUAUGAGCCAAAUCAUAGAUUCAUCAUACUCUCACAGCUACUUAUGGACCAUGUGAAUGCUACGAGCCACCCCGCAGUCUUACAACACUACCACACUACCUGCUAACCUAGUGAAUGCUAUGACCACCCAUACAGUCUUACAACACUUUUAUACUAUCCGCCAAUCUAUUGAAACGCUACGGCCACCCAUAGUCUUGUUGGAAUAGUGUCUAAGGCUGUAACUAUAUCCGGUUGUGCAUGGUCCUUUUGGGUUGCCUUCACCAUAGCAACUUGAUAGGAUGAUUUAUUAAGAGAGAAUAAAUAUUAUUAAUAUAUUAUGGGAAUAAUAUAAUGAAUAAUAUAUUUGUUAUUUGAUUAAUAUAAGUCAUAGAAUUAAUUAGAAUUAAUUUGGUGACUUAAAGAGAUUAAUUAAAUAAAGGGGUAUAAACUGUCAAUUGUUUGAUAGUUAAGCUUUAAACUGUAAAUCCAUUUGGAUAUACUAUGGACGAAUUCUAAGAGGAUUAGGAUAGCUAAAAUCGUCCAUUAGAGUUAUCUAGGAAUGGAUUUGGAUAGCCUUAAGAGAAGAUUAUCUGAUAGGGACUUAUCUGUAAUCCUUAAGGAGUCUACAAGUAUAAAUAGACCCCAUGGCAUAGGGAAUUCGACACUUCUGAAAAAGCAAGAGAACUCUGGUCGAAUUCCUCCCCUCUCCUCUCUCCCAAAUCAUCCUCCUUGCUUUGGUGUUUGUAAGCCAUUAGAGGAGUGACAUUUGUGACUCUAGAAGCUCCAAGACCUCAAGAUCAACAAGGAACUCAAAGGUAUGAUUCUAGAUCUGUUUCAAUGUUCUUGUUUAACCUAAUUAGUAAUUAGAAGUCUUGGAUUCAAAGCAUGUUUAUUAGAAAGCCUAGAUCCAAGCAUUAGGGUUUUGCAUGCGCACAUAGGAAAGUUCUUAUGGCUAAAACCCAUCAGUGGUAUCAGAGCCUAGCUUGGUUUUCUGUAAAUUGUUGCUUGAUUAACUGAAACAAACCUGCAAAAUUCGAUUUUUUGGUUUCUGAGUCAUGGACUCGGCGAGUCUCAAAGUGGACUCGGCGAGUAGGCCUGACUCGGCGAGUCCAUUUGUGCACUCGGCGAGUCCAGGCGUCAGGAAUGGCCAGAUUCGGGAUUUCUUUGUGUUUAUCUUAUCUUAACUUACCAUAAACUAAUUAGAUCAACAUUAAUUCGUUUUUCUGAUAAAUAUAACUAUUAUCUUGAUCUAGUUAAAGGUAAUUAUCAACUAAUUAAAUAUUUAAUUUCCUUAUAUGAUAAUUAAUUAAUUAUUUUGAUUAUUUUGGUAAUUAUCUUAAAAAGAAAUCUUGAAUAAAUCAAAUAUAGAUAAUUAGGAUAUUAAUUGUUAAUUGGAAUUAUUUGUUAUUUGAUCCUCCAUGUUUUAAAUGUUUAAAACCUACCCUCAUGUUUUGAAAUUUACUUUUGUGAUUAAAAGUUUUAAUUUAGACAACUUAAAUUUCAAACCCUAGAUUUUAAAAGUUUUAAAAUACAACCCUAUACUAAUAUGAUAUUACUAGAAUAAUAUAUAUAUGUAUAACUAAAUGCUAGUCUUACCGUUAGUAGGCCUCAUUCACGAAGCCGAUCUAUAAGGUGGGUAUAAGGUUGCGGCCUAUAAAAUGGCGCUUAAUGGGUGUACACUCACACCCACCGCUUGCUUGAUUGGUGGAGGGUCGUUAGCCGAACGGGUAGGAUAGGGCAACCUCAUCCUCUCAUUAAAAGUAUAAUAAGAAAUACAAAGUAACUACACAUAUUUUAAAAUUUCCCAAUCCUAGUUACUUUAGGAAAAGUGAAUUGAUGCAAUCCCAUGAAAUUACACUUUGCACCUUGCUAAGAUGUUAGUGGAGCGUGUGUGGUUUACCGGCACACUAAUUGGUUCUAAGCGAAGGUGGCAAAGGGUGAUUCAUUGUUUAUCAUAGUUCGAUGGAGCGUGUGUGGUUUACCGGCACAUCGAAUAGGUGAUCGUUACAAUGAAGGCACCAUGUGAAUUUGCAUGGUAAUUCACACCCGCUUUGUGAUCCUCGGCAUCCCAGUCACAAACAAGAGGGGCAUAUCGAGAUUUAAACAUGCCAUUGAAUAGUUUCAAUGAAUCUCAUCCGAACCUAGGAAUUCUCAAAAACACUUAGGACUAAUAGUUUAAGUUUUGUGAUGGAGAAUUAGUGAAUCGUCAUUCACUUACCUUCAAUUUAUUUGCAUGUUAGAUUACGGCAUCCCUUUUCUAGUAUGUAAAUGUUAUUGUUGGAUCCUAGCCCUAAUUUUCUUAUUGGGUGAUAAUUAGGGAUUCUUAUUCUAAUCUAUCUUUGUCCUUUUCUAAUUGUAGAUGUCGAACGCAAACAACGCUGCUGCUAGUUCUUUCACGUUGAUGAGCCUUUGCCAAAAGGUCACCUUCGAUGGAACGAACUUUAGCGAAUGGAUAAGAUACAUUCGCACCAUUGCUCGCUAUGAGGAUAAGGAGUAUGUCCUCGAUGAGAAGCUCGAGAAAAUCAACCCCGAAAUCGCUACUCCCGCCGAAAUCACCGCUUUUGAGACUCAUGAGCGAGAUGCAACGAAGGUACAUUGCAUCAUGAUCGCCACCAUGAACUCCGAAUUCCAAAAGUCCUACGAGGACAUGUACCCGUACGAGAUGCAUCAAGACUUAUUGGAGAGGUACCACCAAAACGCGAGACAAGAGAGGUACGAGAUUUUCACUAACAUGAUUUCCGCGAAGAUGGGUCAUGGAGAAUCUCUUACCGUGCACUUGCAAAAGAUGCAAAGGUAUGUCGACCGCCUUCGCAAGUUAAAUGUUGACUUCGGUGAGGAUUUGGCGAUCGACAUGGUGCUUCACUCUUUGCCUCCGAUGUACAAUCAAUUUAGGAUGACCUACCACAUGAACAAAGAAGAGGUCACCCUAAGCAAGCUCCAAGGUCUCUUGAGGGUUGCUGAGAGCAACUUCAAAGACAAGUCUGUUGCACCUACUCCCAAUCCGCCCGCUGCUCCUGUCUUGGCUAUUGGACAAGGGAAGGGAAAGAAGAGGAAAGCUUCAUCGAAGAACUAUCGCAAGGUGAAAGCCCGAGAUGGUGCCUCUUCUAGUGGGACCAAAGUUGAUCCCGCUAAGCCCUGCUCUAACCCGAAGGAGGCAGAGUGCCACCACUGCCACAAGAUAGGACAUUGGAAGAGAAGCUGCCCGGAUUACCUGCAAGCAAUCAAAGAAGGAAAGAUCAAGCCAUCUUUCGCAGGUAUAUAUACAAUCAAAUCUAACGAUUCUAAUCAUGCUAUUUCUUGGGUUCUUGAUACCGGUUGUGGUUAUCACAUUUGUUCUAAUGUGCAGGGACUAAGAAGAAGUAGGGAUGUGGAGCAAGGAAGGAUCAAUCUAAUCAUGGGGAACAGAAGAUCGUCGCCUGUGACCAAGAUUGGAGUGUAUUCCUUAGUGCUUAGGAAUAGUUUAGUUUUAGAUUUGAACAAUUGUUGCUAUUCGCCAGAAAUGGCAAGAAACAUCAUUUCAUUUCAUGGUUUAUAUAGACAAGGAUUUAGAUUUUCUUUUAAUAAUGAGAAUGGUUCUAUUUUGGCUUAUCUAAAUGGUGUCUUUUACUUUGAAGCUAUACCAUGUAAUGGAAUAUAUGAAACCGUUAUGAUUGUUGAUAACUUAGGAAAUGAUGUUUUGAAUAUUGAUUCUUCCACUAGUAUGGAUAAAGCAUCCUUGUGGCAUUGUCGUCUUGGACAUGUCAACAAGAAACGCAUAGCCCAACUCCAAAAGGAUGGAGUGUUGGAGUCAUUCGACCUUAGGGAAGAUGACACAUGCGAGUCUUGUUUGCUUGGAAAGAUGACUAAGUCACCCUUCACGAGUACAUGUGAAAGGGGCGAGGGUCUAUUGGACCUAAUACAUACCGAUGUAUGUGGACCGUUUAGAUCAACCACGAAGGAUGGGAACCGCUUCUAUGUGACUUUUACCGAUGACUAUAGUAGAUAUGGGUAUAUCUACUUAAUCAAGCAAAAGUCAGACACCUUUGAAAAGUUCAAAGAGUUCAAGAAUGAAGUGGAGAAUCAAUUGGGCAGGAAAAUCAAGAUGCUUCGAUCCGAUCGAGGAGGAGAGUACCUAAGUCUUGAAUUCCACGAUUAUCUCAAGGAGUGUGGAAUAGUUUCACAAUUGACGCCUCCUAGGACACCGCAGUUGAAUGGUGUGGCAGAAAGGCGUAAUCGAACCUUAUUGGAUAUGGUUCGCUCUAUGAUGAGUCGUGCUUCACUACCAAUCUCUUUUUGGGGGUAUGCCUUAGAGACUGCCGCCCAUAUCCUUAACCGAGUCCCUACUAAGAAGGUUGCCAAAACACCUCACGAGAUGUGGACAGGGAAAGCUCCCUCGUUGGCACAUAUCAAGGUUUGGGGUUGCGAGGCUUUCGUAAGACGAGAUACUCACGACAAGCUUGAACCUCGAAGUGAGCGAUGUAUUUUCAUCGGCUACCCGCAGACAUCCUUUGGAUAUCUCUUCUAUAGACCGAAGGACAAUGUUGUCUUCGUUGCGAGGAGAGGAGUUUUCCGAGAGCGAGAACUCAUAAGCCAAGGAGACAGUGGGAGGCAAAUCGAACUUGAAGAGAUUCAAGAGUCGAUAGAUGAAGGAACCUCUACCGCUGGCACUCAACCCGAGGAGGAAACUCCGGUUGAACCGAUUGACGAAUCCUUACCUCUUAGACGUUCCGAUAGAGUUAGAGUUCAUCCCCAGUUUUAUGGCUUUCAUAUUACUACCGAAGGGGACACGUAUAUUAGUGAUGGUACACUAGUAAAUCUUGAUGAACCUAAUAGCUAUAAGGAAGCCAUGGCAGGCCCGGAGUCUGUAAAGUGGAAAGAGGCAAUGGAUAGCGAGAUCCAAUCCAUGUAUGAUAACCAAGUUUGGAAUUUGGUUGAUUACGUGCCCGGACGUAAGACCGUUGGGUGCAAAUGGAUCUUCAAGAAGAAGACCGACGUGGAUGGAAACGUACACACAUAUAAAGCGCGAUUGGUUGCGAAGGGCUUUACUCAAACUCCCGGAGUUGACUAUGAUGAGACCUUCUCACCAGUUGCGAAGAUUAAAUCUAUUAGAGUGAUGCUAGCAAUUGCCGCAUUUCAUGAUUAUGAGAUUUGGCAAAUGGAUGUCAAGACCGCUUUCCUUAACGGAAAGUUGGCUGAGGAUGUUUACAUGGCUCAGCCAGAGGGGUUUGUGGAUCCGAAGCAUCCGAAUAGAGUGUGUAAGCUUGAGAAGUCCAUUUAUGGACUUAAGCAAGCGUCUCGCAGAUGGAAUCUUUGCUUCGAUGAGAAAGUCAAAGAGUUUGGAUUUGUACGAAGCGAAGACGAAUCUUGUGUAUAUGUCAAAGCCAGUGGGAGUAUAGUAAGCUUCCUCGUUCUAUAUGUCGAUGACAUAUUACUCAUAGGAAACGACAUCCCGACUCUGCAGGAGGUUAAGUCCUGGCUCGGGAAGUGCUUCGCUAUGAAGGACCUCGGAGAGGCUUCUUACAUUUUGGGAAUAAGGAUAGUAAGAGAAAGAAGUAAGAGACUAAUUGGACUUAGUCAGAAUACUUACUUAGAGAAGGUACUAAAACGUUUUAGUAUGGAAAACUCAAAGAAGGGAGAACUACCGAUACAAAGUAAUGCCAAAUUGAGUAAGACUCAAAGUCCGAGUACCGAAGCUGAGAUAGCAGAAAUGAGCCGAGUACCAUACGCUUCCGCAGUUGGCUCAAUCAUGUACGCUAUGACUUGUACUCGCCCUGAUGUAGCCUUCGCUUUGAGCAUGGUUAGCAGAUAUCAAGGGAAUCCUGGCAAAGCACAUUGGAUUGCGGUGAAGAAUAUCCUUAAGUACCUUCGGAGGACGAAGGAAUGGUUCUUAGUCCUCGGAGGGAGUGAUGACUUGAAGGUGCGAGGGUAUAGUGACGCCAGUUUUCAGACCGACAGGGACAACUACCGUUCGCAGUCGGGCUGGGUCUUUACCCUAAAUGGAGGAGCAGUGACAUGGAAGAGUUCCAAGCAGGAAACCGUAGCUGAUUCAACGUGCGAAUCAGAGUACAUUGCAGCGAGCGAAGCGUCGAAGGAGGCAAUAUGGCUAAAGAACUUCAUCGGUGAUCUUGGAGUUGUACCUGCCAUAAAGGAGCCCAUGGAGAUUUUCUGUGAUAACGAAGGAGCGGUUGCCUUGACCAAGGAACCGAGGGAUCAUGGUAGAUCAAGACAUAUCGACAGAAAAUAUCACUUCAUCAGACAUCGUGUAGAAGAAGGACAACUCGUAGUGAAGAGGAUAUCAUCAGAAGAUAACCCAGCAGAUCCGCUUACGAAGGGACUGAGUAGGGUUAAGCACUUGCAGCAUGCUAGGAGUAUUGGGCUGAAGGAUGAUAUUAGCAUAGAUUAGAUAGUAUUAGAAACGUGUAAUAGAUAAAUGUAAUUAACAUUUGAUGAUUAAAUAAAGGAGUUUUAUUUAUGAGUAAUGUUACUAUCUUAUGUUAAUUGUUUAGCUAUUGUUUCACUUUGCAUGUUUUGACUUCCAGAAUAAUUGAGUUUAUUAGGAAUAAUCGAAUUGUUCAAAUGGUCCACAAUCGUUCAUAUGUUGGGAGUAGAUAUGAAUGAAGAUUGUCAUGAAUUGGUGUGUAGAAUGUCUAAAUGGUGUUAGACAUAGCAAAGGAUUGCUGCAACGUUCAUGAGUGCUUAUGAACUAGUUUUGAGCAUUGGAAUAAACCCGCGCUUGCUGGAAUCACCUUAUGGAAUACGAUAUAAAAGGUGAUCGCAAGACGAUAAUAUCAUAUAGUCUUAAAACCUAGAUAUAUGGUUUAUUAUUUGUUAAUUGAUUGUACAUUGAUAAUACGAAAACGCAUCAGUAACUUGGUGUUAUAAAACGUAUUGUUGUGUAUAGUUGGUUAAUGAAUAAGUAAAUGCAUAUAAGUCGAAGUUUAUCUGUAACUUUUAUCUAAGAAGGUAAAAGCGAUAUCUCGGCCGCUCGAUGAUUUGAUUUGACUUAUGUGCCGGGCCCGGUCAGAACUGAAUUGAUGUGUUCGAUUAAGUUCUAUGUCAAAUAAAUCAGAGAUCGAGAAACCUAAAUGCUUGACUAACCAUUCCAUAGGAUUGUCAGCAUGAUAUCUAACAGAGGACUGUACGUUCCCUUAUCUAAAGGACAAGAUUGAUUAGAUCAGAGUUGACAGCGUCUUUGAGAGCUACGAUUGCAAACCGAAUUGUACUUGUAUAGUUACUAGACUUAUCCAAGUGGGAGACUGUUGGAAUAGUGUCUAAGGCUGUAACUAUAUUAGGCAAGUAUUUGAUCCGGUUGUGCAUGGUCCUUUUGGGUUGCCUUCACCAUAGCAACUUGAUAGGAUGAUUUAUUAAGAGAGAAUAAAUAUUAUUAAUAUAUUAUGGGAAUAAUAUAAUGAAUAAUAUAUUUGUUAUUUGAUUAAUAUAAGUCAUAGAAUUAAUUAGAAUUAAUUUGGUGACUUAAAGAGAUUAAUUAAAUAAAGGGGUAUAAACUGUCAAUUGGUUGAUAGUUAAGCUUUAAACUGUAAAUCCAUUUGGAUAUACUAUGGACGAAUUCUAAGAGGAUUAGGAUAGCUAAAAUCGUCCAUUAGAGUUAUCUAGGAAUGGAUUUGGAUAGCCUUAAGAGAAGAUUAUCUGAUAGGGACUUAUCUGUAAUCCUUAAGGAGUCUACAAGUAUAAAUAGACCCCAUGGCAUAGGGAAUUCGAUACUUCUAAAAAAGCAAGAGAACUCUGGUCGAAUUCCUUCCCUCUCCUCUCUCCUAAAUUAUUCUUAUUGCUUUGGUGUUUGUAAGCCAUUAGAGGAGUGACAUUUGUGACUCUAGAAGCUCCAAGACCUCAAGAUCAACAAGGAACUCAAAGGUAUGAUUCUAGAUCUGUUUCAAUGUCCUUGUUUAACCUAAUUAGUAAUUAGAAGUCUUGGAUUCAAAGCAUGUUUAUUAGAAAGCCUAGAUCCAAGCAUUAGGGUUUUGCAUGCGCACAUAGGAAAGUUCUUAUGGCUAAAACCCAUCAAGUCUUACGACACUUCUACCACUACUUUCCAUUCUAGUGAAUGCUACGGCCACUCCGCAUUUUGAAAAGACUUCUACCACUACUUUCCAUUCUACCGAAUGCUACGGCUAACCCGCACUCUUACAACACUUCUACCACUACUUUCCAUUAUAGUGAAUUCUAUGGCCACCCCACAGUCUUACAACACUUCCAUAUUGUCAUGGUCACAACCCAUGGUCCUACCGUUCAUCUACCAUUGUAACCAUAAUCAUCCUGAGUCGAACCCGCAUCCGAAUAUGCCCCAACCAGAUGUUUGGGUUAUGCUUCGAACCCCAGAGCCUUAAUCUGACAAGAACAUGCAUAGUGGCCCUAACACAACCCUUAACCUGUUCCUGAUCACAUACCCACCAUGCGUCACUACUGAUGCACAAUGAAACUUGAAUAUCCAUUCUUGUACAACCCUCAGACCAACCGGUUCUCCCCUACUUGGAAUUCGACUGCGCUCUUCCAAUCCACCAAAAUUUAUGGGUUUCCAAUGAUGGGUUUUGGCAAUAAGAACAUCCUAUGUGCUCAUACAAACCCUAAUGCUUGGAUCUAGGUUUCUCUAUUGUACAUGCAAUUUAUCCAAGACUAUAAACCCUAGUUCUAGCAUACAAGUAAUCAUAUUAACAUAAGAAUGGGUUUAAGUUAUUACCUUAAUUGUUAUGUAGCAAUAACAAUCCCAAAUCCUCCUUGUAUUGACUUUAGAAAGCUUAGAGUCACAAAUGUCACUCCUCUAAUGGUUCACAAACACCAAGAGCAAGAGGAUGAAGAAGAGAAGAGAAGGAGGCUGCCCAAAACGUGUGGAAAACCUAACCAAUUAGUUCACCACGUUUUUGGGGCUUAAGGGUUCCUUAAAUAGUGAGGCUAUUAGGGUUAUCUAACAAGGAAACCCUAAUUUGGAUGCUUAGGCCCUAAGCAACCCAUGAACACCUUUCUUAAAGGCCUUUGGACGAUUUCUAAUGGGUUUCCCCAUAGAAUUCGUCCACCCCUUUAAUAUGGAGUCCAUUAGCUCAAUAUUCAACUAUCACACAAUUGACAGUUCUAGUCCCUUAAGUUUAAUUAAUGUCUUUUAGCCACAAACUUAAUUCUUAUUAAUUCUUGAGUAAUAUUAAUUAAACAAUAUGAUUUCUCCUUUAAUAUAUUAUUCUCAUAAUAUAUUAAUAAAUCAUAUUUAAUCCUUUCUCUCCAUAAUUCAUCCUAUCAAGUUGCUUUGGUGAAGGCAACCCAAAAGGACCAUGCACCAUCGGGUCAAGUACAUACCAAAAUAGUUAUGGACUUAGACACUAAUCCAACAGUCUCCCACUUGGAUAAGUCUAAUAACUAUUAUGCGUAUGACUUCAGAUCCUGAUCUGCAAUCGUAGCUUUCCAAAGCCGCUGUCAACUCUGAUCUUAUCAGAUACGCGUGUCCUUUAGAUAAGGGAUCAUAUAUUCCUCCAUUCUAGAUAUCGUAUAGACUGAGACAUGGAUCUAAAUCAUUCUCUCUGUCUAUGUGCUGUUUCCCGAAUUCAGAUUUAUGACGACUGACAACAGACUACAAUUGAACACAUCAAUUUAGUCCCGGCUUGGCCAAGCGCUUAGGUGCCAUCACUAAAUCAUCGAGGGGCCCACAGAUAUCGCUUUUAUCCUACUUUGGAUAAAAGGAACGGAUAAACUUUGACUCAAUGCUNNNNNNNNNNNNNNNNNNNNNNNNNNNNNNNNNNNNNNNNNNNNNNNNNNNNNNNNNNNNNNNNNNNNNNNNNNNNNNNNNNNNNNNNNNNNNNNNNNNNNNNNNNNNNNNNNNNNNNNNNNNNNNNNNNNNNNNNNNNNNNNNNNNNNNNNNNNNNNNNNNNNNNNNNNNNNNNNNNNNNNNNNNNNNNNNNNNNNNNNNNNNNNNNNNNNNNNNNNNNNNNNNNNNNNNNNNNNNNNNNNNNNNNNNNNNNNNNNNNNNNNNNNNNNNNNNNNNNNNNNNNNNNNNNNNNNNNNNNNNNNNNNNNNNNNNNNNNNNNNNNNNNNNNNNNNNNNNNNNNNNNNNNNNNNNNNNNNNNNNNNNNNNNNNNNNNNNNNNNNNNNNNNNNNNNNNNNNNNNNNNNNNNNNNNNNNNNNNNNNNNNNNNNNNNNNNNNNNNNNNNNNNNNNNNNNNNNNNNNNNNNNNNNNNNNNNNNNNNNNNNNNNNNNNNNNNNNNNNNNNNNNNNNNNNNNNNNNNNNNNNNNNNNNNNNNNNNNNNNNNNNNNNNNNNNNNNNNNNNNNNNNNNNNNNNNNNNNNNNNNNNNNNNNNNNNNNNNNNNNNNNNNNNNNNNNNNNNNNNNNNNNNNNNNNNNNNNNNNNNNNNNNNNNNNNNNNNNNNNNNNNNNNNNNNNNNNNNNNNNNNNNNNNNNNNNNNNNNNNNNNNNNNNNNNNNNNNNNNNNNNNNNNNNNNNNNNNNNNNNNNNNNNNNNNNNNNNNNNNNNNNNNNNNNNNNNNNNNNNNNNNNNNNNNNNNNNNNNNNNNNNNNNNNNNNNNNNNNNNNNNNNNNNNNNNNNNNNNNNNNNNNNNNNNNNNNNNNNNNNNNNNNNNNNNNNNNNNNNNNNNNNNNNNNNNNNNNNNNNNNNNNNNNNNNNNNNNNNNNNNNNNNNNNNNNNNNNNNNNNNNNNNNNNNNNNNNNNNNNNNNNNNNNNNNNNNNNNNNNNNNNNNNNNNNNNNNNNNNNNNNNNNNNNNNNNNNNNNNNNNNNNNNNNNNNNNNNNNNNNNNNNNNNNNNNNNNNNNNNNNNNNNNNNNNNNNNNNNNNNNNNNNNNNNNNNNNNNNNNNNNNNNNNNNNNNNNNNNNNNNNNNNNNNNNNNNNNNNNNNNNNNNNNNNNNNNNNNNNNNNNNNNNNNNNNNNNNNNNNNNNNNNNNNNNNNNNNNNNNNNNNNNNNNNNNNNNNNNNNNNNNNNNNNNNNNNNNNNNNNNNNNNNNNNNNNNNNNNNNNNNNNNNNNNNNNNNNNNNNNNNNNNNNNNNNNNNNNNNNNNNNNNNNNNNNNNNNNNNNNNNNNNNNNNNNNNNNNNNNNNNNNNNNNNNNNNNNNNNNNNNNNNNNNNNNNNNNNNNNNNNNNNNNNNNNNNNNNNNNNNNNNNNNNNNNNNNNNNNNNNNNNNNNNNNNNNNNNNNNNNNNNNNNNNNNNNNNNNNNNNNNNNNNNNNNNNNNNNNNNNNNNNNNNNNNNNNNNNNNNNNNNNNNNNNNNNNNNNNNNNNNNNNNNNNNNNNNNNNNNNNNNNNNNNNNNNNNNNNNNNNNNNNNNNNNNNNNNNNNNNNNNNNNNNNNNNNNNNNNNNNNNNNNNNNNNNNNNNNNNNNNNNNNNNNNNNNNNNNNNNNNNNNNNNNNNNNNNNNNNNNNNNNNNNNNNAUUGAUCAAGGUCCUUGCCUUUUAUGCAUUCAAAUGAGAACUCAUAGGGCUCACAUGCAUAAUUAACUCAAUUGGAACGGCACAGAAACAAGAUAAUGUCAACACGAUAGGUUGUAAACCUCAACUCGUGUGCUAGUGAUGAUCGAUAAGGUUUAUUUGAUUUGUUCUUGAAACUUUUCAAGACCAUUAAGACUCCCACUGACUCCUUGACAUAUAAGAUUCUUUUUUCAAUGAACUUUUCUUGAUAAACGAAUAUUCAAUAAUUAGUGUAGCUUUUUAUCAAGACAAAACCCUUCAUAAAAUUGGUCAUAGUUGGUCUUUGUCUUAUCCAAGACAUCACAACUUUCCAAUUUCAAAUGUGUGAGAAUAGGAAAGCCUUUUUCCAAAUUCUACAUUUGAUGAAUGUUAUAAACCUUCCUAAGACUUGUCACUUAAUGUCAUAAUCUUAACUCUAAGACUUGUUUUGGAAUGAAGUAUGAUUGACUUCUUGAUUUAACCAUUUCUUCAAUUCUUGAUUCCUCUUCUUAGACAUACAAUUGUACUAAGACUCACUUAGAGGAUCAAUUGAGAUAUGGUUCUUAAUCAUUAAGACAUAUCAUAAAGCAUAAAAGGUACUCUCCCUUCUUCUUAGAAUAGAGAAACUUUUAUCUUUCUGCCUACUUGAUUCUUCUUAUUCGUUCUGCUAUUGAUUUAAACUUUUUCAAUCAAUUCAGAAUUACACUUAAUCUUAUAAGUAUAAUCAUAUUUACUAAACCUUUAGUAAAUCAUGACGAAUAUCUUUGUUACUCUUGUGGUGGACUUGAUCAACACACAACUUUGUGUACUCGAUCUCCUAGUCCUUCACUUGACACUUUGUCAACGAAUUAGUCUAAUUUCCAAAUAUGAAAUUUCUCAUUCAUCGUGCAACCAAGUUGCAUGAUUCCAAGUUUCUGUCCAAUUGAAACUUGGGCGAUGAGAAACUCUCCCUAUUUGGUAAAUUCUUGACAUUUCCACAAUUAACAUAAUUAAGAAUCACAUCCAUUCGUUGUAGAAAUAUGCAAACAUCAAUUUUUCAUAACGAUUUCAUUGCAAGGAAAUAAAUAAAUAAAUAAAUGAGUCAAACCAAAAUUUAUUUUAUUCAUAAAAGCAGCGGAAAACAUUUGUCCUUACAAUGCAAAAUCAACUAAAAACUAUGUAGUCAAAAGAAAAAUUCCUAACAACUCUAUCAUAACUUUCUAAGCUCAAAAUCUAAUCUUCAAAUCCAUGCGAUCGAGAUCCAUUUCUUCGUGAUUAGAUUCAUCUUGCUCUUUCAUCAAGCUUCCUCUCUUUUCACUGAUCCUGCAAAACAUUCAAAUGCAAUCUUAUCACAUCAUGUAUUAAGAAUCAACGAAUAGGAACUUAAUGGAGUUAGAUAGUGGAUUUUACCUGAAGCACAGCCAUACUUUUUGACUCUCCCAUCUUCUGGACUCUUCAGGCUCUUAGGGCAGACUUGUAUCCAACGCCCUUUCUCUUGGCAGCAAACGCAGGUCGGUUCUCCUAGAACGUCCUCGGAAGCAUGGUUGGUUGACUUUCCCAACAAAUAUGCUCCAUUGCUUUGCCAAAUCAUUUCUGAUUCAGCAGCAAUGAGCAUGUAAGUUAGGUCAAUGAGGUUUUCGUCAUGAUCCAUCAUAUAAUACUUUCUUUUGAACUCAUUAUAUGAUUCAGGAAGUGACUGCAGAACCCAGUUCACAGCCAACUUAUCAGGGAAUGACGCACCCAACAUAAUCAACCUAUCGAUGUGUGAUUUCAUUCCUAGAACGUGGGCACACACGGGUUUACCUUCUUCAUGUUUCAUUUCCAAUAGGGCUUUAGUGACAUUGAACCUUUCAAUUCUUCGAUCUUGUGGGUUAGGGAGAAUAAUUAGAGGAGGAGGAGGAAGUGAAGCAUGAUCUCUUGUUCCUUGAUCAAAUCGUGGAAUAUCAUCUUCGUGUGGAAUGCUUUUUGCACAGGAUUUAGCAAGACCAUAGUUGUCGAACUUUGACAUCUACAAAACGGGAGAAAAAUAAUUUCAAGUUAGUUGAUAGAUUGAGUCCUUAAUAAGUCACCCAAAUGAGAUAUUAAGGCUAGGACCCAACACAAUAUUCCACAACUCGGGAGAGGGAUGACGUAACCCUAAUUGCAGAACAUUUGAAGGUAAGUGAAUGAUGAUUCACUAAUUUCCACCAUGAAAAACGAAAAAGAAAUUUAAGUUUUAAAUCUAUGAAAACUCCUAGAUCCUUUGAGAUUCAUUGAACAUUUCAAUGGCAUGUUUAAAUCUCGAUAUGCCCCUCUAGUUUGUGACUGGGAUGCCGAGGAUCACAAAGCGGGUGUGAAUAACCAUGCAAACUUACAUGGUGCCCCCACAUGUUACAGUCACCUAUUCGAUGUGCCGGUAAACCACACACGCUCCACCGAACUAUGACAAACAUUGAGUCACCCUUUGCUACCUUUGCUUAGAACCAUUUAGUGUGCCGGUAAACCACACACGCUCCACUAACGUCUUCGCAAGGGCACAAAGUGUAAUUUCAUGGAAUUGCAUCAAUUCACUUUUGCCUAAGUAACUAAGAUUGGGAAUUUUAUGAAAACAUUUAGUUACUUUUAUACUUCAUUAUACUUAUAAUGGAAGGUUUCUUCCUAUCCUACCCGUUCGGCUAACGACCCUCCACUAGUCAAGAGUGCGGUGGGUAAGAGUGGAUACCCAUUCAAUCGCCAUUUUAUAGGCAAUUUCCUUAAACACCCCUUAUAGACCAGCUUCGUGAAUGAGGCCUACUAACGGUAAGACUGACUUUUACUCAUACAUAUAUAUAAUGUUAGACUUUUAAUGUUAUAUAUAGUAUAGGGUGUAUUUUACACUUUUAAAAUACUAGGUGGUCAAAUUUAACAAUUAUACUUUUAAUUCAAUUAAAUUGUAAACCUAAACUUUUAUGGAUUUAUUAAACCUCUUUUAAUUAUACACCUUAAUUAAUUAAUAAAACCAUAAGGGUGUGAUUUGAACUUUUUCAAAACUAUACUAGAGUUUUAGAAUUUAACAUUCCUAAUUAAACUUUUAAUCAACUUUUAAAUUCCAAAACUUGAGGGCAAGUUUUGAAACAUUUCAACACAUUAGGGUUUAGAAUUUAAAUAUACAUCAAAAUUAAACUAUUUAAUCAAAAUUUAAAUUCCAAAACUUGAGGGCAAGUUUUGAAACCUUUUUCAAAACAUUAGGGUUUCAACUAUUUAAAUUUCAAAACAACAAAACUUUUGGGUUCAAAUUUAAACUAUAAAACCUAAAGGGGAAAAUAUGAAACUUUUCAUAACAACAAGGAUCAAAUAACAAAUAAUCUAAAUUAACAUUUAAUCACAUAAUUAUCCAUAUUUGAUUUAUUUAAUGAUUUCUUGCAAAACAAUUUAUCAAUUUAGUCAAAAUAAUUAAUCAAUUAUCACAUAAGGAAACAAUUAUCUUAUUAAUUGAUAAAUAUCUUCAAUUAGAUCAAAAAUAUAGUCAAAUAUAUCAUAAAAUCGGAUUAAUAUUGAUCUAACAUGAUAAGGUAACUAUCCCAAUGCAAAAACAGCAAGAAAUCCCGAGAUAACCUCCAUCUGACGAGUUGACUCGUCGAGUCAAGCCUGGACUCGUCGAGUCACCUUGGACUCGGCGAGUUCAGCUAUGGACUCGGCGAGUCCAGCCUCCAGAAACCCAAAAAACGAAUUUUCCAGAUAUGCAAUGCAUCAAUACAAUUGAAACCAAGCUAGGCUCUGAUACCACUGAUGGGUUUUGGUCAUAAGACAUCCUAUGUGCUCAUACAAACCCUAAUGCUUGGAUCUAGGUUUCUCUAUUGUACAUGCUUUGAAUCCAAGACUAUAAACCCUAAUUCUAGCAUAUGGAAAUCAAUAUUAACAUAUAAUUAGGUUUAAGAUAUUACCUUGAUUGUUAUGUAGCAAUAACAAUCCCAAAUCCUCCUUGUAUUGACUUUAGAAAGCUUAGAGUCACAAAUGUCACUCCUCUAAUGGUUCACAAACACCAAGAGCAAGAGGAUGAAGAAGAGAAGAGAAGAGAAGAGAAGAGAAGGAGGCUGCCCAAAACGUGUGGAAACCCUAACCAAUUAGUUCACCACGUUUUUGGGGCUUAAGGGUUCCUUAAAUAGUGAGGCUAUUAGGGUUAUCUAACAAGGAAACCCUAAUUUGGAUGCUUAGGCCCUAAGCAACCCAUGAACUCCUUUCUUAAAGGCCUUUGGAUGAUUUCUAAUGGGUUUCCCCAUAGAAUUCGUCCACCCCUUUAAUAUGGAGUCCAUUAGCUCAAUAUUCAACUAUCACACAAUUGACAGUUCUAGUCCCUUAAGUUUAAUUAAUGUCUUUUAGCCACAAACUUAAUUCUUAUUAAUUCUUGAGUAAUAUUAAUUAAACAAUAUGAUUUCUCCUUUAAUAUAUUAUUCUCAUAAUAUAUUAAUAAAUCAUAUUUAAUCCUUUCUUUCCAUAAUUCAUCCUAUCAAGUUGCUUUGGUGAAGGCAACCCAAAAGGACCAUGCACCAUCGGGUCAAGUACAUACCAAAAUAGUUAUGGACUUAGACACUAAUCCAACAUCCAAUCCAUCUCAUAACCUACAGUUUAAAUUGUCAACAACCUAAGCUCACAAGAACUAGCAUUCCUUUACUAACCAAUCUUAACAAUCACACACAUUCCAAAACCAUAUGUAUACUUCCUGAAAUAUCAACGAGCUUAAUAAUCCUAGUACUUCCCAUUGACUCCACUACAAGUCCCCAACGACUUAUCGGAUGACGAAGAUCAACAUCUCUAAUAUCGAAACGGGUACCCAACUGAUGCCACAACCUACUUGCACUUAAAGUAAUUACCAUGGGAACAUGUAUCUGACCACAAUAUGAAGGUAUGAACUUGAAAAAUACCAAUCUUACACCCAUAAUCAAACCAAUUCCUCAUUGCCUCGAAACCAUGAAGAAGCCCUACAUAUCCCACAUUUGAACCCGACAUACCCACCUUACGGAUUCCUUGAAUUCUUGCUGAUACCACCAAAUAUCAAAUCAACUGAUGAUCUUUUCUUACUCUAAGCUUGUUCCGAUGAUGGUUGAUGCCUCUUACAUCGAAAUCCAAAACUGGCUCACCCAAAAAUCCCCUAAACACGGCUCUCGGUAUGAAAAAUGGCAUAUGAAAAUUCUCAAGAUAAAACAUCUAGACCAUCAUGAAGAAAACUUUAAUUUAUAGAGGGAGACUUAGAUACAACCCCCAUAUAAUCUCACACACACAAUGAUAAACACAAUUAAUAAGAGUAAGAAGGAAAUGAAGACAAUACAUAAAUGUGCCAUCAACUGAUGGAACUCGGAUCCCCUCUGUGACUGCAAUGCUCGGUUCCUCACCACAGGAACCUCCACUCUACCCUCACGACCAUCAGUAAUCCUCAAAGUGGCUGGAGCAGGUUCCCUCACGACUCCUCUCAUCAACUUCGGACAUUCAGCCUUCUUGUGGCCCACUUGGUUUCAGUGAAAACAUAACAUGCUCGUCUCCUGGGGAUAAUCUCUACCUACAUGACCAACCCUGCCAUACUUGUAGCAACCCAUACCCCUAGAUCGACAAACCCCGAUGUGUUGCUUCCCGCACAUUCUUCACUGACCCUGACCCCUUCUGGCCCCUUAACCGCUAGUUUGAAGUCUUGGGUCUCUUCGCAGAACCCCCAUCUACCUACACCUGCUCUGGCUUCCUCUUCCCCAGGUAGUCCAAACCAAUCUCCCGUUCCCGGGCUCUAGCAAUCAUAUCAUUCAGGGUCUUGCACCCUGACAUACUCAUAAACUUCCUGAUGUCAUCCCUAAAUAUAUCAUGAUACUUUACCUUUUUCAUUUUUUCUUCCAUUGUAUAUUGCGGAACCAACAAAGCCUUCCCAGUAGUAUGACGAAGGUACCAAAACUCCCUUGCUAACUACUUCACAUCAAUAGUUGGUGUAUACUCUACCCUAAACCGGCUCACACACUCAUCCCAAGUCAUCUUCUCCAUGGUUUUGCCUCCCAAAGCGAAGUCUACCUCCUCCCACAAAUCUUGAGCCCUGUCUUUCAGAAGACAUGAAGCAAAUAUGAACUUCGACCCUCAGGGCAUAAAAUCAUCCGUAAAUCAUUCACCAUAUCCACUAAUCACCUCCUACUAGCAAUUGGGUCAUUCUCCCCAAAGAACUCGGGAGCUCCACAAUCACGGAACUUGCGGAAGCAAAGAGUAAGAGCUCCAACAAUCGCCACAACCUCAAUUCGGAAUGCGCCCAGAAGCUCUUCCAAAAUCUCCAUAAUACCUUCCUUGACAAUAUUGAAUAUCACAUGAAUCUGUUCUAAAAUACUCCGGGUGAUCUCCAACGAGAUAAACUCCCGCAUACACUCAUUAAUCCGCUCAUCACCUGCACCUGAGCAUGAACCAAAACCUGAACCUCCUCUACAUGUUUUCAUCACCAUUCUGAAAAACAAUCAUACAAAUGAUCAAAACAUACCUAAGAAUCUUCAUCCAACAGGCUUCCUAGACUCUCUGUGACUCUCCUCGAUUCGAGUAUGGAUCCUUUGAUUUUAGUAGUAUAGGCACAGUAAUACCUUCCAUACAUAUCCAUAAUUUCCUCAAGAAUCAUCUUUAAUCCUGUAAGUCACCUUCUCAAACUGAUACUCUAAGUACUUGCUAAACAGUGCGACCAAACCCACUAAAACACUUCCUAGGCUCUCCUUGGUUCCUCCCCCUCCCCCUGCCAUCAACUGCUGAAAAACUCCCACUAACGUCAGCUAACUACUUCAUGAAUACAAUCACAUGCAAUAAAUUUUAGAUAAUCCUUUGAGGUAAAAGACUCAUCCCUACAACGGUUGGACUCAGACAAGAUUCGUGCAAUAGGGUCAAAUCCAUCACUCUGAGAUUAUUUAACCUUUGCAGCAUGCAACUUAACAUAUUCAUGAAAUAAUUAUCUCACGUCAGUAUGAGUCCCACAGAGCACAAAGCAAGCAGUAUUCGGCCAUCGGAAAGUCUAACCAGCGUACCAUCUUUCAAGCCAUUCUAUACGAUCAUCUAAAAUCAAUACUAGCAUGCAAUUCUAAAGCUCAAACAACAGGCAUACAAAGGCAUUUCUCCUAACAUGAAAUUCAGAGCAAAUCCUUAGCCCUAAUCUAGCAUGAAAAUAUCAUAACAUAUAAUAUAACAAACAUGUAUGGGUAUUUUGGGAAUCACUUACUUGAGCUCGGCUGAUUGCACGCAUCACCCCCUUUCUUUUAUUAGAAAAUCCUUUAAUAAGCAUUUUUUAUGAAAAAUUUACCAAACCCUCACUUUGAGUUCAGGCACACCCGAGAGUAUGCCCGAAUCCCUAAAACCAAGGUGCUGAUACCAACUUGUAACGUUCCAAAAAUUAUAAAGUAAAAAUUUCAUUUUUAAUUUAACUAGAAACACCAAUUAUCUUUUUUUUUUCCAAUCAUUCAAAGAGCAUUUCAGAAUAAAAACAGUUAUCAGAGUACAAUCCCAAAAUCAUAUAGUUUCGAAAACAUUGGUGGAUGCGUUGUGGUCAAGUCAAGCCCUUCCCUUUUGAAUCAAAAGUACCUAAAACCAUAACCAUAAAAACCGUAAACACAAAGCUUAGUGAGUACCCCAAAAUACCACAUACCAUACAUACAGUAGAGAUUGCUAUGUGCCGACCAUAGUCUUGUCAUUAUGCCACGAGCCGUAUCAUGGUCUUCCCUUUCCAGGGCGGGGGCCAAAACCUAGGUCUUAUAGACAAGUGCCAAGCGUCACCUCCUGGUCUUCCAGGCAAGUAUCACAAACACAACUAGCAUACUACAUAUAUAUAUAUAUAUAUAUAUANNNNNNNNNNCAGGGUCUGAUCCCUGGUCUUGCAUACAGUUUGUCGGGAGCCACCCCAGGGUCUUUCAUAGGAUAAUCCUGGCAGAUGCGCCAAAUAGAGAAUGUCAUAAUACUAGCAGAUGCGCUUAUAGGUGUUUAAAUACUCCUCAAACCCUAAAAAUUAGGGUUUCUCUCGGACAUAAGUACGCACAGUGUACUAGGGCACACCCUAGUACGCUUAGCGUACUCACAUGUAUGCUCAACGUAUAACUCCUGCUUGCAAAAUUACCAUUUUGGCACUAGGGCUUCUUAGGGCUACAUCCUUACAAUCUAAAGACCAAAAUGACAUAAUUUAAAACCAAAGGAAGGAUUUGAAAAUACCCGAAACCCAGGAUGUUACACCGCCCAAACUUGCAUAACGGGCCCCGCCCACAUACAAAUCAUAUAAGCAUAAAAAUGUAAUAGCAUACAGAUUGACCGUCAGGCCCCACCCAAUAGGCAUACAAGCACAUACACAUACAAGUGUCACACAAACAUCUAGUAUUCUAGCAUAACAGAUCAUGGGUCGGUAUUGGUGCCUUAGACCCGCUAAACCUAGUGAGGAAACUCACCUCAGACAGUUGAAUCUUACAGAUAAAAGUUGCUGGCCUGCUGAAAUCCCCACGCUAUCAAUACAAUAAUAACAUCCAAUUAAUAAUUGGAUCCCGACUCACACUAAGAGUCCAAACUAGGGUAAAAGACCCUUUUUACCCUUUACCUAACUUGGCACAAAGACAAGGCCCAAGCUAACUAUCCAAAAAGGCCCAAAUUCCAAAAUGAUCACCCAAAGCCCAAACAUGGCCCUUUUUUCCAAAUUGGGCCCAAACCCAUCAUGGGCCUAAAAUCAACCGUCCAACCACAAUAAUGGGUCCUCACGUCGUGACCAAACCUUGGGCACAUUGUGGGGACCAACUCGACUCUGUCCUAACUCAAUGAGUCAACUCAACUCAUCAAGAAGGUUUCAGUCUCCUUCAUGUCGUGACCCAACCUUGAGUCACGUUAUGGCCUAAUCCGAAUAAAAUAGACGGGAUGGACAACAUUCUCAUAUUGUGAGAUAUGUACCGACGAGCUUAAAACAUAAGCUCUUAAUCCUUACAGCCAUAACUUGGGACUUUCUAGGGGGUCUUCCUUUACCCAAAGAAUGAUAAAAAUCGUGGCUUUUCAGUCAUGCAUGUCUAAUGCAUGACUCAAACUCUUACAAGACCAAAAGUGGGAAAAAUGAUCUAGACUAUGUUGAAGAGAACGAGUCAUUGAUUCAUAAAUUUGCCAACUUUAUGGACCCCAUGCAAGAAAUCCCACCCAAACAUGCAAAAAUGAGCUUAUAACUUAGAUCUAGAAUGAAAAAGCUAAAAAGGUCCAAGCUUUAUGACUUACAAUGGUCCAGAAGCUCCAAAAGAUUGCAAGGUGGAAGCAAAAACUCUAAGAGGUUGCUGAACUAAGGUCUUUUUCCAUUUCAAGUAGCUAAAACCACCAAAUAAUGCUUCAAAGAUCUCAAAAAUGCCUAAGAGCUUCAAGAGGGUCGAGAUUAGGGUUUUCUAGAGGCUUAGAGGGUGAGAGAGAUUGAGGAUGGAUAAUCAUAGCCUCUUAUUCACUUAAAUACCUGAAAAUUAGGGUUUUGGGUCAUUAAGCCACACUCACAUCAUGAGACCUUAUACCUCACGUCGUGAGUUUCCAAAAAUGUGGGUCAACAGGUCAAUGGUUACUCAGAACGUGAUCCCUAAGAUCUCAUGUCGUGAGGACCCUCAUACUGCAAAAUAAAAGAAUGAAUUUUUGUACCUUAGGAUUCUGGAUGUUACAACAAACCUUCCAUAUCUAGGUGCCUAUUCAGAGGAAACUGUUACCGGUAAAACAUCAUCGAAAACCUCCUCAUCUCCAUUACUUAUGAGCUAACCUAGAUCUUCUCACUACCAUCUGGAUCAUCGUUCAAAAAUAAUAGCACGAUACACCCUCUUAAAAACCUCAAAACAACCCACCAAUACUUAAACCUUAAAUCUAAUAUCAUUGUAAAUUUCAUGAAGAAAGAUGAAGAAAAAUUGACUUUAGAUUUGAAACACAAAGCCGUAAUUUGAUUUUUGAUCUUUGAGAAGAUGAAUGGAAACUGAGAAGUAGGGGUAACGGGUGUAAAGGUUUGUGUGUGUGUGUGUGUGNGGGGGGGGGGGGGGGGGAGGUGCCCCUCUUUUUAUUUGUUAUCACAUUAAUAUUUAAAUUAAAGAAAAAAAAUGUUUAAGAAAAUGGAAAAAAAAAAUUAAAAUGGCACAUUAACGGGGAGCAAUGUCACAAAGAAAUUAGUUGAAAAUGACCAUUUAUCCAUUUUUUCAAGGUUUGUACCUUUUACCUGAAAAAAUGCAUACCACAAUGACCGUUUUUGUAGUUUUGUCUACGUAGUUUUUUUCUCUUUGUUUUAUUUUAUAUUUACAAAAACACGAUUCCUUCUAGUUGUGAGCAUCAUAUUUGUAGAAAUAUCAAUUAAUGAUAUAUAUANNNNNNNNNNNNNNNNNNNNNNNNNNNNNNNNNNNNNNNNNNNNNNNNNNNNNNNNNNNNNNNNNNNNNNNNNNNNNNNNNNNNNNNNNNNNNNNNNNNNNNNNNNNNNNNNNNNNNNNNNNNNNNNNNNNNNNNNNNNNNNNNNNNNNNNNNNNNNNNNNNNNNNNNNNNNNNNNNNNNNNNNNNNNNNNNNNNNNNNNNNNNNNNNNNNNNNNNNNNNNNNNNNNNNNNNNNNNNNNNNNNNNNNNNNNNNNNNNNNNNNNNNNNNNNNNNNNNNNNNNNNNNNNNNNNNNNNNNNNNNNNNNNNNNNNNNNNNNNNNNNNNNNNNNNNNNNNNNNNNNNNNNNNNNNNNNNNNNNNNNNNNNNNNNNNNNNNNNNNNNNNNNNNNNNNNNNNNNNNNNNNNNNNNNNNNNNNNNNNNNNNNNNNNNNNNNNNNNNNNNNNNNNNNNNNNNNNNNNNNNNNNNNNNNNNNNNNNNNNNNNNUAUAUAUAUCAAAUUUAAAUAUUAUACUUACUUCUUUCUUUUAAUUGCUCAAUUACUCACGUUAGCUGUUAAAAUCACUCCGAUUGCGGUCGACCUUGAAGUGAAAUGCAAGAAUGAUAGUAUGUGAAAUUGUGAUUUUCUAUUGACUCUUAUCAUUAUCACAAAAUUGAAAACAAAAUUGAAAACGUGACCCUGAAACAUAAAUACACAAUGUUAAUAUUCUUUAUAUCAACAUUAAUUGAUAUUAGUAAUAUAUUUAAUAAACCUAACUUUAUUGUUAGUAAACAUGAAUGACAUUAGUAGCAUGCAAUGAUACUUUAAAUAAUGAAUUAGUAUUAUUUUUGUCUUUUAAUAUUUUAUUAAGUAAUAUAAUACUAAAGGAAACUUUUGAUCGGAAGCCUCUUACAAUUGGAGGGCUCGUGAAACCGCACCAUCUGCACACCCCAUGACUGGUUGAUUUUGGUUAUAAACCAAAGUUUGUUUAAAACUAGGCUGCCAUUUAUUGGUUAAUGUUUAAAAAUAUGUUGCUAUUUCUUUCAAAUGGUGUCGGGUGCUCAUAAAAAAAGUUCAAAAUAUGUCCAUAUGCUCAUAAAAUGUACAUUGGUUAUUGCUAUUUCUUGGGACCUUUUCAUAUCCUUCAACUCCAUGCUACCAACAAAAAUGGAUUAAUUUAUGCAGCCAGAACAUUCAACUGUCCAACAAAAAUUACAUGGGAUUCUUGUUCAUACGUAAUCAUAUCAUUCGGCUCCAUAUCAACAAGGAAGAAAUAGCAACAUAUUUUUAAACAUUAAUCUAGAAAUUUUAUGUAAUUUCAAUAGGAAAAAAUAGCAACAUACUAUUAAAAGGCCCAACAUAUAUAUUUUGGACCAACAUGUACUUUUUGAACAUAAAUUUCUGGAAUAGUAAGAAAUUUUGAUCCAACUUUUAAACAUUAAGCAAGAAAUAGCAUUGUACCUUUAAACAUCCAAGUAGUUGGUUUCUCUUGCUUAAUGUUUAGGAAUACAAUGCUAUUUCUUGCCCAAUGUUUAAAAGUUUAUUAAAAUUUUCUUGUAAUUCCUUAUAAUUCUGUUCGUAAAGUAAUGAAAUUUGGAUAAAGAUUGUUAGGAAAAAUUAAAUGCAUGUCUUUUUCUGAACAUUAAAUAUAGGGUUUUUUUUUAAUAUAUAUGCAUAAUAGUUGUGUCUUCCUGUCGAAAGUGCGAAAGUAACAAACCAGUUAAUUGUUUAAUAACCAGCAAUUUGGACAAAUUUGGAAUGCAAAAAAUGUUUUCUUCGGAAAAGAAAAGAACAUAUGGAUUUUUAUAAUACAUGUACAUAAUAAGUGAUGAUUUUCUGUAUUUUACUCUAAACUCAAAUCAUGUAAACUUAGUCGCAAAAAAUAUCACGAUUGCAAAAAUAAUAACAAAAUAGAUAAAAGAAAGAUGCCAAGAUGGCAAUGCCACACAACAAAAGGAUAUUAUUUUGUCGUCAUUUUGUCGUCAUUUUAACAACCAAAAUGUCGAUGUUACACAAUGUGCUGUCAAUUAUCUCCAUCAUGAGUACAUGUAUUUGUACAAAAGAAAGUUGUAUGUAAGGAAAAUUGUAAUUUGCAUACUGUUUUUAUGAGUAAAUUACAGUUUUGGUCCCUAUGGUUUACUAAAAUAUUAAAAAAAAAUCUAGCUUAACGGAAGGAAGUUGACAAUAACAAGAUAUUUCCUAAUUUUUACUGAAAUAGUCCCUUGAGUUAGUGAAAAUCUCAAAAUAUCAUAAAACACAAAGAUAUAGAUAUAUUACGAGUACUUAACGGAUGGAAAUUGACAAUAACAAGAUCAGGAACCACAAGUGUAACUUUUGAAAACCAUAGAGAUAAAUUAUGUCAAAAAUUGAAUACGUGGAAUAAAAUUAUAGAUGAGUGUAGACUACAGGGAACAAAAUUGCAAAUAACUCUUUUUUUUUUUAUUGAUUGGACUUAUAUGCAACAAACAUAAUAAUUUUUUAAUGUACAAGUACAACCAUAAAUGAUGUUGUAUAGCAAUAAUUUAUGAAUUAUGAUGUAAAUUAUUUGGUGGAAAAAUUAGAGUGAUUUACGUACAAGAAAUGAAGGACAUAAAUAUGGUCUCAUUUAUGCUUAAUACCCACCCCUAUAAACAGCAGUUGAGACUACCUCAAAACACUACAUACCCCUACCCCACCCCCCGCCACCAGAAACAAACUAAUAAAUACUACAACCAUCCAUCCUUUGUUUUUACUUGUCCUAAAAUUUUAACAUUAAAUGCUUCUUGGAUUUUUUGUUGUUUGCUUCAUAUUAUAUGUAUGUAUGAAUCUCUAUGAGAUAAGUAUGUGGUGUGGAAAACAGCGAUGGUAUGCAUCAACCGGAUUGGAUUGACGAAAAUAAAUGCUAUGGGUAUUCUUUUGCAAGCAUACAUGCAUCAUAUAUGUUUGUAAUUAGUAGUGUCAUUAUUGUUAUAUCUUCGUUCCAUGUUUUGGUUUUGAUUAUAAUUCUGAUCUUCAAGCUAUAUAAGGUAUAUGUGACGUUUUUGUUAAAAGAUUUUUUUUUUUACAUAUAAUUAAAAUAGAUGGAUUACGAUAAUUGAAACAAGACAAUAUCAUAAAUAUGUCAGGAGUAGCUAAAAGUUUUUUAAAAUAUGUAUUAUAGAGAGGAUUCUCCAUUGGUGUUACAUCGGAGAUGUUCAAUUUAGUAAAAGUGGGGGGACAUUUUAAACUCUGCUGCUCAUUGGGGUAAUUGUCCAAAAAAAAAUGAAAACAUUCCAUUUGAUUUGCUAUGGUAUGUUACGGUGAAUAAUAAGGAAUGAUCGAAUUUUCAAGAAUUAUCACAUAGCUCAGGAGACUAUGGUGAAUAACAUAAAGGUGAAUGUGUUCUUAUGGGUUAAAUUAAGGAGAAGUAAUGGGUGAUUAAAUGGGAUGAAUUUAGUAACUCUCCAUUUGUUGUUUGUAAUUUGGUGAUGGCUUUUUCUUUCUCUUCUUUGUACUUUGUUCCUCUUGUCCCUUCUAUUGGUGAUUUGUUUCACUAAUGUGAUUUAAGUGUAAUGAGAUUAUUUUGUGUGACCAAAAGUGAUCUUCAUAAAUAUUAAACAAGUAAAUAAGGUAUGAAGUGCACACUUGUUUAAAAUUUAUUCAAGAUUAAAAGUAGACUGUCAUUUAGGAGCAAAACCCCUGAACGAAUGGGGGUCCAGAGGCAGCGCCCCUGGGAGCGGGGUCCAAGGGGCAGAGCCCCUGGUUGGGAUCGAUCCAAAUUUAGAAAUUUGACCCGUUUUUGGCUUGGUAUUAAUCUUUAUAGAAAACUCGGAUUUAUGAUAGUUUUUUUACUGUUGCUAAACUGUUUUAUGACAGUUUUCAGACAAGGGAGGUAUUUAACCAAUUUUGUUCAGUUUUUUCUGGUACUCACGAAAAUUCAUAUCUUAUUCUCUGUUCUUUUCUCUUCUGAGUCUUAUUCAAUCAAAGAUUAGGGAGUACCACCCAAUACUUUGAUUUAAUAGUGAAAUCAUAAUUCUAACACCUCCCAUUUUCUUGCUAUUAUUAUCCCAUUUUCUAACACCUCCUAGUAACUUGCUAGGUGGUUUUUUUUAUUAAUAUAUUUCAUAUGCCGUUCCAAAAGAAAAAUCUAAAACACGUUAUUAAUUUUAAAAAAGGAUAAUUAAAUCAAUUUCAAAAUUAUAAAAAGGUUUUUUUUUUGUUAAAAUGUUAUUUAAAAUAGCUUUUGGAUUUGAAACUUUUUGUUUUUAACUAAAAGUUAGAAAAUCCUAUUAUCAAACAAAGUUUUUUUUAUGUUUUUUCAAAUUUUUUCUUAAAAACAUGAAACUAAAAGUUUCCAAAAUCUAGGUACCAGACCAAUAAAAAAUAAUUCUUACUGUAAUAAGAUUUAUGUUUCUAUUAUUUUUAUCUUUCUCAUAAUAAGCUUAGUCAUUUACUCAUAUUAAUCACAUAAUUUGUAAAAUCCAACCAUAUGUCCUCUCAGUUUUCAUUAACCAUUAAAAGGGUUGGCACAAAGAUACCUAUAACAUUGAAACCAAUAUGGAAGUAACUUCCAUUUUUACCCUUACAACUCUAGCAUCAUAGAAAGGGCUUUGUUGCUUCCUCCUAUCCAUAAAAGUAAUUUCAAGAUUUCUUUUGAAGCAGAAAGGAUGAAGUGGAACUCCUGGUUGCAAACACACAUUGAUGUAAAACCUACCAAAUAUACAAUACUGUUUAAGCAUUUAUUUCAAUCUUUUAUCCUGUUGUUGUCAUAAAGAAUGGAAAUAUACCACUUUUGUGUAGAAUGGUCCAUUUGAUUUGUACAAAGGCAUGGUCAGUAUCGACAAUCUUUUACUUUACAGGUAGGUAAAACUUCAUACAAAAUAACUAUACAUAUUUAAUUUUAAUCGAUUUUUAUUAUGAUAAUGUAUUUUAAAAAUCAACAUUUAUAUAGUCAAAUAAAUGGUAUUGCUAUCUAAAAUAGAAAACAAUUUAUUGAAAAAGUUAGGUCAUUUUUUAAUUAUGAACACAUACAAUAGAGUCAUAACAUUAAUUUCGAAGGUAUACAAUCUAACAUAAAAACUAUUUGAAAUAAUGAUGUUAUUUACAUAUAGUUUGUUAGAUGCGUCACGAUAGUAAAAUAAAAAUUUGCACUACGUCCAGAAAACUAGAUGUUGACGGUGCCACUACGGGCAUCAUAAUAAAACCGUCCAUGAACUAAGCUUUUAGUAAAUAUAUGUUAUUGACGUUAACUAUAAAUAAUAAUUUUUAUAUUAAAUUGAUAUAUAAAAUUACAAUUAAUUUGAAUAAUAUGAUAAGAUUAAAAUAUAUUAUAGUCAAAUUAUUUAAUUGUUUUUAUUUGCGACUUGCAUUCGAAUACAAGUAAACAUGCUUAUGAAUUUGACUAUUGUUAUGAUUAACCAAUUUAAAAGCUAAUACCAAGAAAACCAAUAUAGUUUGAGAUUUUUUCGGCUUAAGCAACAUUUUUUUAUGUUAACAAAUUUAUGUUACCAAAUGAGAAUUUGUGUUUUUUUUUAUCACUACAUAAAACUUUGAAUUCUAUAGAAUCAUCAUAGUUUGAAAAUUGUUCGGCUUAACCACUCAAGGAAAAUUUUUUUCGACUCAACCAUUAAAAAUUUAUUUAAAAAAAACCAUUUUUAACCAAAAAAUAUAUUUUUUCUUUUUUGCAUAACAUUAAUGGUAAAAACUUAAGUGAUUUUUAUGAAAAAAGAAAAGCAAAUCUUACCGGUUAAUCUAUUUUGUUUCAUGUGGUUAAAUAAGACAAACUAUAUUGGUUUUUAAGGAUAAACAUCGAAACUGAGUAUCCGAUUUCGGAAUCGGAGCNNNNNNNNNNNNNNNNNNNNNNNNNNNNNNNNNNNNNNNNNNNNNNNNNNNNNNNNNNNNNNNNNNNNNNNNNNNNNNNNNNNNNNNNNNNNNNNNNNNNNNNNNNNUAUCUUAAAAUUGUAACGUCUUACAUUUCAGAAUAAAAUUUCAUUUUUAAAUAGAAUAAACACCAACUUUUAUAAAAGUUACAUUAAAAUCAAGCAAUUUCUUCAUAAACCAUAUUUUAAAAUCAGAGUUAUAAGGAAAUCAAUACAAAAUCUCAAAUCAUAAAAUCGUUGAUGUACGUAUGUACAGUCCCGCCUUUGCAAUCCGAUAAGUACUUGAAAAACAUAUGAAUCCACAACUGCAAGUCAAAGCUUAGUGAGUUCCCCUAAAUACCCCAUACAACGAUACAUAUACAAUGUAUGCACAUCGGGCCCACAUCAUAAGACCGGAUUGCCCCCAAGCCCACAACAUAAGACUCGAUUUCCCCCGCACCCAGUGGGCCUACAGGCACACAGACAUCAUCCCAUCGACCUGUAGGAACCCAUUCAAUAUCCCACUUAACACUUACCAACAACCGCAAGAGCCAUACCAUUUUAUAACACACAACCCUUCCAUAGUCUAAACUGCUACCGACACAUCAUCGGACAAAACAUGCUUGAAUGAAACUAGGAAAUAAGAUAAAUUGUUGAACUCUUGCCCCAACUCGAAUGCAAUAAAUCAAUAAGAACCAUUCCAUAAGGCAAGACCGAGUGUGCUCAGGCUAUCACACACAAUCCCCUUACACUCCAAACGACAUUAUUUGUUGGACUGCCAACAAUUCACACUUCUCAGGGGAAAACACAAUGCUCCUCAAGUCAGCUAUGUUCCUUUUUUAACAUAACCUUACCAAAGAGUGAAGUACCAACGGAUCGAACGAAACAACGAACCCCAACCGCUAAUAGAAACAUUCUCCUAAUAACCAAUACAAUAUCACACACCUUAAAUGAAGUUAUACAAAUCCACCAAUGUGCCAUUAAACCAAUAGAAUUUCCAAAUUCAGAGAAGGAUUCCAAAAUUAUCUAGAAUGUUUCCAGAACCCUGAUCGAAUCAAUCCAAAUACCAACCUUGUUGACAUGACAUGCCAAAAUUAGACCAUGUGUGGACCUGAGGUUACACCUAGAAAAUAACCAAAGAUGUUGCUGAUGGGUUUUAUAGGUUAUAAAUUACAUAUGAAACAAAAACCUUAACCAUUAAGUUCACAUGCAACCUAUAAAGGACUUAUGUUUUCUCUAAUUGAUAACAAUAAACUAUUAGACACCAAGAACCCUAUAAUAAUCGAAAUAUACAUAGGAUUAGGAUUUACAUACCUUUUGAUUAUUAUAACAAUUAACCAAACACAAUUCCUUCUUGAAAGCCUUGGAAAGCACGUACCAAAAGUGUAGUGUCUCUAAUGGUUUGUACCAAAACCCUAGAAAUUAGAAGACUUGAGGAGAGAGAAGAGGGAAGCUAAAAAUCGGAUUUCACUUCUUGAGGAUGCAAAUCUCAAAAAUAGGCUACCAAAGCGGUCCUAUUUAUAGUUGAUAGGAAAAACAUGGAAACCCUUAUGUGAAUUAAAAUAAUCAUAUUUCAGAUUCAAACUAUUAUCCAACUUCUUUAUCUUCAGAAAGAACAUUCCAGAUGCCUUUGGCAUCUGCCAAAACCAUCCACCUCUUGUGGAAGGUUCUGAAAUCUCUUCUUGUUUAACUAUUGAACAAUUGUAGCUUGGCCUUUAUACUCUUAAUUAAACUAAUUAAUCACAAAAUUAAUUCCAACUAAAUUUUGAUUAAUUAUUAAUUAAAUAAUACCAUUUCUAAUUACUAUAUUAAUCUCAUAAUAUUAACAAAUCAUUUAUUACAAUAAUAAAUCAACAAAUCAACCUCUUUCUCCAAAAAUCAUUCUACACAAUUACUAAUUAUGAUGGCAACCCAAAAAAGGACUUUGCUUUUAAUUCAAGUAUAUACCAACUUAGUUAUGAUCUUAGACACCUUAAUCCAACACUUGUGACAUUUAAACUUCCACUACCAGGACAAUCGCCAAACUCGAAUCUCCUAGAACUCGCAGUCCCUCAACCAGCCACCAAGGGUACACAUAUCUUGAACCCUAGUUCAACCAUUGAUGUAACGACCGUAAAAUUCGAGCGAAAUUAAAACAUUUUAAUUCAUUCAAAACCAUUAAGUUCAUACAUUUGUUUUCAAAAUAGUUUAAACAUCAGAGCAUUUCCCAGAACCAUAUCACAUAAAUCCUAAAACAUGAAGAGCGGUACGAUCACGCAUUCGCCUUGCCACGGUCUCCUGAAGUACCUGAAACAAUACACUGAAACUGUAAGCCCGAAAGCUUAGUGAGUUACCCCCAAAAUACCAACCACAAUACCAUACACAUAACAUAUCAUAUCAUAAACAGAACAACCAUGCAUAUCGAGUCUACAAUAUGACUGGUCCGCCCGCACCGGGCCUUCAAUCCACCUGGUCCAUUCUCUGAGUGUACAGUAUGACUNCCCCGGGCCUUCAGUCGGUCUGGUCCCCUCUCCGAGCCUCAGCACGUCUGGUCCGCCCUCAUGGGGCCUUCAUCCUAUCCGGACCGCUCGUCGGGCCAUCGGCCUAACCGGUCCGCCCUGGGUAUGUUGGCCUACAACACAAAGCAGGACCCGCCUCAAUCCAACCCCAGUCCAACAACCAUGUGCACAUAAACAUAUAAUCAUAUAGUAAUUCACAACUAAUCAACCAAUCUGGCAGAUCACAUAACAUAGCAACAUCCUAACCAAGAUAUCGACCUAACCAGGUCUCUAACAUAGCAUCAUCUUAUAUACCAGGAUACCGACCUUAACCAGGCCUCUAACAUAACAUCAUCCUAUAUACCAGGAUACCGACCUUAACCAGGUCUCUAACAUAGCAUCAUCCUACAUACCAAGAUACCGACCUUAACCAAGUCUCUAACAUAGCAUCAUCCUACACACCAGGAUACCGACCUUAACUAGGUCUCUAACAUAAACCAUCCUAACUACCAGGAUGCAGGCAUAGCAAAGAAAUAACAUAACAAACAACUACUCAGACUCCCAUCUGAUAAAGGGCAGGCCUUGGUGCCUUAGACCCUAUCAAUAUAGUGAGGAUAACUCACCUGCAACUCCCGACUUGAAGAAGUAAGACCACGCUGCUUCGACCACCAGCACGAGCUCCACCACUGAUCAUUUCCAAAUAACGAAUCCAAUAAAUACCAAUAAUUACCAAAAUACCCCUGGAAGACAACUGGUCAACCCUUGGUCAAAGUCAAGGUCCUCACUCAAAGUCAACCUUCCUGGUUGACCCUACUCGCCGAGUCAACCCGUUGACUCGUCGAGUUCCUAUGCUCAGAACUCCCAUGCCACGACUCAACUCGCCGAGUCGCCCCAAGACUCGUCGAUUCCAACAAGCUCUGAGUCCCUUCCUGCUCAACUUACCGAGUCAUCCCUCAACUCACCGAUUGACAGCUCAAAGAGAAAAGGUUAGGGUUCCACGACCAAACUCGCCGAGUCCAAAGCAAUCUUCAACAGACUCUCCGAGUUGUUCUUCUAACUUGCCGAGUCCAUGCACAUAUUCAUACAACUCGUCGAGUGCACCCAUGUGACUCGCUGAGUCUCUUCAGUUCUCAUUCCAUGUAGAGGCUUUUUAAGCCAUGUAGGGACUCAAAUCUAUAGAUCCACUCUUCUACAGCCUAUCCCUCACAUAAAGUUGCAAACUUUAUGUGGAACCAAGGUGAUAUAAGCUCUAAACACUCUAGGGCUAAGGCUAAAGACGAAAUGGCUUCACCAAUGACUCUUAAAGGGAGCUUUAUGACAUAUAGGACCAUCACAUGCUUAGAUCUGAAGUAGCAUCCUCAGAUCCAAGCUUCUAUCUCGAAUUAGUUCUCACAUCAAUCACCAUACGUGAAUCCAUGAAGAAAUAGCUUAAGGAAAUGGUUCCUUACCCCUAAAAUGAGCCCAAACAAUAGUAGAUUUCUGAUCUCCCCAAGCUUCCUGAUACAAGCCUCCAAACCUUCAAGCUUCAAAAGCCAAAGAUCCUCCUCCAAGCUCUAAUUCAUUCAACAAUGGGGUUUCCUCACGAAUUAAGGUUUCUGGAUCUCAAAUGGGAAGCAAAGAGGCUGAGGGGAAAACAUAAGGUUCUUUAAAUAGGGUGCAAACCCCGAAAAUAGGGUUUCUCAUUCCAGCACUGACUCGCCGAGUCUAGCCGCUGACUCGCCGAGUCGGUCACUUAGCACGUGACCAAAUCGCGACUCAACUCGCCGAGUCUAUCCAUAGCCUCGCCGAGUCGAUCUUUCUUAAUUACACCAAGAGCCCUGAACUUACACUUCUGAACUCGGGGUGUUACAAUUCUCCCCCACUUAAAUUAGGCUUCACCCUCGAAGCCUGCAGCAACACAUCCCAGAUGAUACUCCCGCAAUACAGCUCCUGGUCUCAACCGACGCAGGUUCCUCCAAACACUACUAUCAAACCUCUGUAAAGUCUAACUCUUCCUUCACAGAGUCACGACAACUGCUUCAAGCCGGCCACCGGCUUCUUUCUCUGAUAACAACACUCAUCAACCAAAUGAUCACCCGAUGAUACUUCCCUUAUUCCAAAUCACAACAAUCACUUGACUCUUACAAAGAUAGAUAUCACCCUGAACCAUCGGGUCCUGACCCGGUAUCAAGCUACUACCCCUUUCCUUGACUUGCAUAUCCUUUAUCGCAUUCACUUCCAGGACUUAUCCCGCUUUCCUUUUCGAAUCCAACUCGUUUCUUUCUGCACUGACAGGAUGACACAUCCUUUAGCUCCGGAGCAACUCCCAUGAGCUCUCCUCUGCAAUCACAUAUAAUGUUGAAUCUGCUCUAACAUCCUCGGGCUGGAAAACCCGACAUACUGACGAUACCUCCAGACACCCCCAGGAUGAAUUACCGCUACAUACAUAACCUCCUGAUCACAACCAUACUGGAAACUCAAGGCUCCCUCCUUGCAUCCCUUCCGAACUCCUCUGGUUCUACACCACCGGAAAUCCUUCCGUGACUUCAAUAGACACCUAACCCGGAUGUACUUCCAUACCACUGGCACACUCACAAUGCUCAAUAACCAUAAUCGAAAUACUCUCAAUCAUCCAUUCACACUGCUGCUUUCAUUUCCGUGAACCAACACUCCCUCCCGGAGUUACAUACCUUUCCUUUUUCUUAUCCAAGGAAAUCUACUGGUCAACCUUGCCACUUCAGACAAGUGCCACGGUGCUCACACCCCACUCUACAUUAUCCCUUGUAGAGUAACCGCUACUCCAUGCAUUGCACAUGCUCUGAAUCUGCUCGCAAGGACUCUCGGGUCCAUGCACUGCCUUCUGCUAACAUGAUCAAUACCCGGGGCCAGACCCACUAUUUGCUAUCGCAUCGCAACAUACUUAAUCCAUCUCCUCAUAUAGAUCUAUCAACACAUACAGAGUCUUCAGCAUGACUGGACCGCCUUACUAGGCCUUCAGCCAAUCUGGACCACUCUCAGAACCUUCAGCAUGUCUGGACCACCCUCCAGGGCCUUCAGCCUAUCUGGACCGUUCUCUGAGCCUUCGGCCUGACCGGUACGCCCACAUGCCUUCAGUCUCCCCGGACCGCUCAAACUAUCAUACAUCGUCCUGAACUAUCCUUCUUGGGAAUCUUUCCCGUACAUACUGUUCUAGCCCUCUAGGGGUUUCGAACUCUAACUCCAUCCCACCUACUCAGAUCUCAGCCUAAUCCUAGGCCUUACAACACCAAUCACCCUUUCCCAAAAACCUUGGUCUGUACCUCGCCCCAUUUUCCUGUCAUUUACUCAUACCACCCCACACUCUUGGCUGACUGAAACACUGUUGAAUCCCAAACAGCUAAUCAACCUCUAAUGCUUGUCGAUCCUCCUGAAAAUUUUCCAAUUCUCCCCACUUAGAACACUUCCUACCAACCACCGGUGACUCGACCGGCAUAAAUCAAUCAUCCCUACUCAAUAUACUCCUCUUAUCCAUGAACUGAUUUCCUCUGAAACGAGCAACCUCCACAAAAUCACUUCCUGACAUCACACAUCACGAACUCUAAGGGAGUUCGACUCUCUGCCGAACACUUCUCAAAUCUCAAUUGCUAUACCCAACAUCAAGACCACAUAACCAAAUUCUGACCAUCAAUCCCUUGGAUGCUAAUCGCCUACAACUCCUAGUUACUAACACUCCCAACCAAACCAUGAAGCACGCAAAACGGCAAAUAAAAUACAACACUACAUAGAUAACCAAAUAACCAGACAACAACGAAACGAAAACAUACCCGCAACUGCAUCCGGCUCUGACCUGACCUCCUCUGCUGUGAGCUGAAAAGCGCGAACCUGAGCCCUCGAAGGCUCGGCUCCACCCUGACCCCCGCCAGUAAUCCUCAAAGUGGCCGGUGCUGGAGCCUGCACCGGUCUGGUAACCAACUGUGGAUAGUUGGCCUUCAAUUAACCAACCUGGUGGCAAUGAUAACAAAUCCUCACAUCCUAAACCGGGGCUGACUGCCGACAAUCCCUCGCGUAAUGCCCCUCUCUCCCGCACUUGCACCACACACCACCAGACCUACAAACUCCGGUAUAACCCUUCCCGCACCUUUCCCAACCUGGAAUCAACAGUCUUGGACCGUUUCGGCGCCGGCUGCGACUGCGCCUGGGCCUGCCUCUGCUCUCUCAACUGCAACUCAAUCUCCAAUUCACGCCGCCGAGCGGCCUCCUACAACUCCAGUAAGGUCUCGCACCUCUGCGUAGACACAUACUGCCUGAUAUCCCUCUUGAGCAUACUCAGAUAUCGGGACAUCUGAGCCUGUUCCGAAGCAAAUUCAUGGCAAAACAUCGCCCUUUCAGUGAACAUCCUGGUGAUCUCCGUCACCGACUCCGAACCCUGACUCAGUUCCAAGAACUCCUGAGCCAACCUCUCCUUAUCAACCCGUGGAACAUAACGGGUACUGAACAUCUCCCGGAACUGAUUCCAUGAAAUCGCAACCCGCUGCGCAUCCGAAUAAGAUCCUGUGGUCAACCUCCACCAAUCCUUCGCCCCGAGCCUCAAAAGGUUCAGAGCACACUUCACCCUCUGGUCCGCAGGGAAUGAACACGUGAAGAAACAACCCUCCACGUCUGACAACCACCUCGUAGCAACGAUCGGAUCCUGAACUCCAUCGAAAGUAGGGGGCUUCGUAUUAUCGAACUCUCGAUACUGAAAACCUCGACCGGUUCCUCCCCCUGCCGCUGAUACANNNNNNNNNNNNNNNNGCCGCCUCUGUGAGAGCUGCAUAGCGCUCAUCAAGGUACUCAACCAUGGUGGUCUUGAUCGACCCAAACAUCUCUGGCAACUCAGCCCGAAACAUAGCAGCAACCUCAUCAUGCAGGAUCUCACGAAUCCUGGCAUCCAACUCGUCUGUACCCAUCUGACUAAUGACCUCAUGUGGUACCGAUCCACCUUGAUCACCCUCUCCUGAUCCCGAUCCCGAAUCGGAUCCUGCCCCGAGACGUCUCGUAAUCGCCAUACCGAAAAUAUGCUACAAGAAUAUUAGGCAUUCCUCAUAAUAAUCUCAAGAACUAGCUCCCAACAAAACCCUAGGGGUUGUGACUUCCUUGAUACGCGUAUAGGUCCUGUGCUUUCAGUAGUACGGGCCCAUACUACCUUCCACACCUACCCAUAUUUGUAUCAAGUAUCGCCACAACACCCUAACAAUAACAUAUACAUAAUGAACACUCCAUCCCCACCCCUAGAGGAGCACCACUAUCCUAUAACCAACCAACCGGUCUCACGCAACCCACCCAUCCAUGAAACAUCCACCGACCUUGCAACAUUAGUGUAUACUAGCCACACAUAACGCUGGACCCGAUAGACUUUCGAAUAUCCAAUUCUACCCUAAGGUCGAAUCAAACAUUCUUAGACUAUAAGAUCUUGAUUAUGCACAGUCGUGAUGCAUACACUAAAAAACUACAAUAAGGAUGUCAAUUUCAUAUAAGGAAAACCCUAGGGUAAUAGGCAUCAUGAAAUCAGGCAAUUCUAUCAUGCAAUUCCUGAAGAUCCCUAGCCUAGUACUAGCAUGUUGUUCUAACAUAUCACAUAAUCAAAUAACUUGUAUGGUAUUUUGGGGUCUCCUUACUGGCUCUAGCUGAUCGUACCCUCUGCAUUCUCCUUUACUUAUUUCGAAAACAUUUUGAAAACCAUUUUGUAAAUCCCUCCUUGAUUUGAGACUGGAUUCACACGAAUGUUCCUCCAAUUCACUCAAACCAAGGCUCUGAUACCAACUUCUAACGACCGUAAAAUUCGAGCCAAAUUAAAACAUUUUAAUUCAUUCAAAACCAUUAAGUUCAUACAUUUGUUUUCAAAAUAGUUUAAACAUCAGAGCAUUUCCCAGAACCAUAUCACAUAAAUCAUAAAACAUGAGGAGCGGUACGAUCACGCCUUCGCCUUGCCACGGUGUCCUGAAGUACCUGAAACAAUACAUUGAAACUGUAAGCCCGAAAGCUUAGUGAGUUACCCCCAAAAUACCAACCACAAUACCAUACACAUAACAUAUCAUAUCAUAAACAGAACAGCCAUGCAUAUCGAGUCUACAAUAUGACUGGUCCGCCCGCACCGGGCCUUCAGUCCACCUGGUCCACUCUUUGAGUCUACAGUAUGACUGGUCCGCCCACACUGGGCCUUCAGUUUAUCUGGUCCACUCUCCGAGCCUCAACACGUCUGGUCCGCCCUCAUGGGGCCUUCAUCCUAUCCGGACCGCUCGUCGAGCCAUCGGCCUAACCGAUCCGCCCUGGGAAUGUUGGCCUACAACACAAAGCAGGACCCGCCUCAAUCCAACCCCAGUCCAACAACCAUGUGCACAUAAACAUAUAAUCAUAUAGCAAUUCACAACUAAUCAACCGAUCUAGCAGAUCACAUAACAUAGCAACAUCCUAACCAGGAUACCGACGUAACCAGGUCUCUAACAUAGCAUCAUCCUAUAUACCAGGAUAUCGACCUUAACUAGGCCUCUAACAUAACAUCAUCCUAUAUACCAGGAUACCGACCUUAACCAGGUCUCUAACAUAGCAUCAUCCUAUAUACCAGGAUACCGACCUUAACCAGGUCUCUAACAUAAACCAUCCUAACUACCAGGAUGCAGGCAUAGCAAAGAAAUAACAUAACAAACAACUACUCGGACUCCCAUCUGAUAAAGGGCCGACCUUGGUGCCUUAGACCCUAUCGAUAUAGUGAUGAUAACUCACCUGCAACUGCCGGCUUGAAGAAGUAAGACCACACUGCUUCGACCACCAGCACGAACUCCACCACUGAUCAUUACUAAAUAACCAAUCCAAUAAAUACCAAUAAUUACCAAAAUACCCCUGGAAGACAACUGGUCAACCCUUGGUCAAAUUCAAGGUCCUCACUCAAAGUCAACCUUCCUGAUUGACCCUACUCGCCGAGUCAACCCGUUGACUCGUCGAGUUCCUAUGCUCAGAACUCCCAUGCCACGACUCAACUCGCCGAGUCGCCCCAAGACUCGUCGAGUCCAACAAGCUCUGAGUCCCUUCCUGCUCAACUCACCGAGUCAUCCCUCGACUCACCGAUUGACAACUUAAAGAGAAAAGGUUAGGGUUCCACGACCAGACUCGCCGAGUCCAAGACAAUCUUCAACAGACUCGCCGAGUUGUUCUUCUAACUCGCCAAGUCCAUGCACAUAUUCAUACAACUCGUCGAGUGCACCCAUGUGACUCGCCGAGUCUCUUCAGUUCUCAUUCCAUGUAGAGGCUUUUCAAGCCAUGUAGGGACUCAAAUCUAUAGUUCCACUCUUCUACAGCCUAGCCCUCACAUAAAGUUGCAAACUUUACGUGGAACCAAGGUGAUAUAAGCUCUAAACACUUUAGUGCUAAGGCUAAAGACGAAAUAGCUUCACCAAUGACUCUUAAAGAGAGCUUUAUGACAUAUAGGACCAUCACAUCCUUAGAUCUGAAGUAGCAUCCUCAGAUCCAAGCUUCUAUCUCGAAUUAGUUCUAACAUCAAUCACCAUACAUGAAUCCAUGAAGAAAUAGAUUAAGGAAAUGGUUCCUUACCCGUGAAAUGAGCCCAAUAACAUUAGAUUUCUGAUCUCCCCAAGCUUCCUGAUACAAGCCUCCAAACCUUCAAGCUUCAAAAGCCAAAGAUCCUUUUCCAAGCUCUAAUUCACUCAACAAUGGGGUUUCCUCACAAAUUAAGAUUUCUGGAUCUCAAAUGGGCAGCAAAGAGGCUGAGGGGAAAACAUAAGGUUCUUUAAAUAAGGUGCAAACAUAAGGCUCUGGAUCUCAUUCCAGCACCGACUUGCCGAGUCGGUCACUUAGCACGUGAGCAAAUCGCGACUCGACUCGCCAAGUCUAUCCAUAGACUCGUCGAGUCGAUCUUUCUUAAUUACACCAAGAGCCCUGAACUUGCACUUCUGAACUCGAGGUGUUACAAUUGACAAGACUAUGACUAAGGGUCGACGCACCAACUGCAACCUCGACUAUUACUACUCGGAGACCCUCGAACGACUCCAGAUGCUGAUAAGGAAUAAAAUGACCAAUCAAUCGGAGACAGAUCGACAACUAGAACCAACGAUCCCCUACACUGUUAAACAGAUCCCAAGCGAAAAUACACAUACCAAACUCUAAAGUCAGUCGACAGAUUUGCAACUGCCCAUCCAUGACCAUAGUAAGCAACCCCAUACUGCGAGUUAACCAUGUCCUUUACAUCUGAUGCCCAAUCUGAGUGACUCAAACGCUCAUUUCUCAAAAUCCUUGGCGUUUCCAGAAGAAACUAUCGACCACAACGAGUUCCUUACCUAACAACUUUCUAUUGCGAUAACAACACAUGUGUCCUGGAAAACACAACCUGACGGGAAAUUGCUCUGCACUCGAUUUGACCAAUCUUCGAAUUCUUCAUGACCAUGAAGGAUUCCAACGGACCUCAAGAAUGCAAUGAGAAGUCUUCCUAACCAUUAGCUCUUCAAUGGUAGCCUAUAUUCCUUCUUGCCUGCAACAAUAUGAAACGACCCAAAAAUACAACCCAAAAAUUUCGUUUUUCAACAUAACCAAAAACCGUAAUCUGAGUGUCAUAUCAUAAAACCAUACAUGAUGUAUCUCAACAUAAUAAUAAAACACUGUGCGGAAAAACUGUAUCAUAUCCAUGACAUAUAAAAAUCAAGAACUAAAUCAACUCCCAGGAUAAAAGCUGAAGCCGUGGUGUGUGCGAUGCCAUCAUCCCGAGCUCUUCCCUCUGCUAGCGGAAGUACCUGAAACCAAAACUAAAACUGUAAGCACGAAGCUUAGUGAGCUCCCCCAAACUACCACAUACCAUACAAUACAUAUAAAGCACAUACUGGGCCUUGCCCACUGCAUCAGACCGAAGUCUGGAACUAGCUGCAUCGGACCGAAGUCCGGAACUGACUGGGACCUUGUCCCCUGCAUCGGACCAGAGUCCGGAACUAACUGCAUCGGACCGGAGUCCGGAACUAACUGCAUCGGACCGAAAUCCGGAACUAACUGCAUCGGACCGAAGUCCGGAACUGACUGCAUCGGACCGAAGUCCGGAACUAACUACAUCGGACCGAAGUCCGGAACUGACUGAUCAUGACAUAGCAUGUCACAUAACAACUAUUAUAUUCACACAUACUGCAUACUGCAUCGGACCGAAGUCCGGAACACAUAACACAAAUAUGCUUGAAUCACAAAGACGUCAAGCCAGCUAGCUACUACAUCAAACUAAAGACCGGAACUACUGAUAAUUACACGGGCCGGCAUUGUGGCCGUAGACCCGUUCCUACUGAAGGGAAACUCACCUCGUGAACUGGCUGCUGAGUGAAUAGCUCUGAGGGCUAACUGCUGCUGCUCCGGUAUCUCCCCGGCUACAAGUCCAUAAACACACUCAAUCAAAUACUAAACACUGCACUGGGUAAAAUGACUCUUUUACCCUUGGUCAAAGUCAACCCUCGGACAAAGUCAACCCAUAGUUGACCUGACUCGCCGAGUCCCUGUUCUCAUUCCUCGACUCUACUCGCUGCUACUCGUCGAGUAUGGCAUCGACUCGACGAGUACUCUCCCGAUCCAAGAACUCAGAAAAUCUUCAUCCGACUCGCCGAGUCCUAUGAACAACUCGACGAGUUGUUCUUGAGCUUAAGAAGAUUGCCUUGGACUCGCCGAGUUGUAUGAACAACUCGCCGAGUCCCUCCAUUACUGAGUCUACCCUCAAACUCGCUGAGUCCACUCCACUACUCACUGGUCCCACUCGACACCGCUCAAAAGGAAGAAAUCGGGGACUCGCGACUCGACUCGCCGAGUCGUUCUUCCGACUCGCCGAGUCACCGCCAUGCAACUAUUCUACACUCGAUUCUGCUCGAAUCCAAUACAUACAAAUGAUAGAUCUGGGUCCAAUAAGCUGAUUUACCACGUAAAGUUUCCAACUUUACGUGUACAAACACAUGAACAAGGGAAUAAAGGCUAAAAAGGCACUUAAAAGGGUAGAUCUAGGGUUAUGAUGCACAAUGGCUCCAUAAAGACAAUAGAUUUGGGCUCUACAACCCCUAAAUGAACAGAUCUAAGGAUAUCUCGACAUAAAAUGGCUUCCAUAUCAACAUAAGGCUUGAGAAAAGCAUCAACUAGAUCUAAAGGGGAUUUUAAAGCAUAAAAGGGAAGGAAAUCCGAAGAAUACCUCAAAGAACUCUUGCUUUCCCUUGAAUCUUCGCUCUACAAUUCUUCUCCUUGCUCCUUUCUUCUUCUCCUUCUUCAAUCCUUCACAAAAUGCACACAAGAUCACUUAAAACACUCAAGAACGAAUUAGGGUUUUCUCACAGCUUUAGAGGGUGAAGGAGGCGAGAUUGGGUGCUAUAAGGUGGCUUAAAUAGUGGGCAACCCGGGGAUUUAGGGUUUCUCCCAGACGAACAGACUCGCCGAGUCCAGAAUAUGGACUCGCCGAGUCGCCAACUAACACGUGCUCGAAAUCCCGUCCCUA